rnacentral:lncRNA from 1 species
GCAGAGGGACUCGGUGAGACCAUGCCGUCAGGAGAGAGAGCAGGAGGGAGAGAGAGGGAUUUGGUGAGGGGAAGGCAUGCGGCUUGCAGAGAUGAGGAUGAGAAAGGGGGAGGGACAAAGGAAGAGAGAGAGAUAGGGAUUGGGUGAGGGGAAGGCAUACGGCUUGCAGGUAGACAGAGUCACAGGGGGUGUACGAUUCAAGGGAGAGAGAGAGAGAGAGAGGAGAUUGAGUGGUGGCAUCACUCUCACUACCUGCACUCCUGAGGCCGGCUACCAGAGAGAAGGACACAUGAUAGGAGAGAGAGAAAGAAAGAGAGAGCGUGCAGAGGCAGGAAGGCCUGAGAUUGAGGACAAAGGCCAUGGUUGCACAGAAUGACUGAGAUUUGAAGCCCAUGACAGCCUCAGCUGAUUGAAAAUGUGAGGAAUCGUUUUCAAAUCUUUUGUGCUUUAGGAUUAGGAUUACAAACUCUAUUCAUAUCAUGCAGCUUCAGAUUCGAAAUUGUGAUUUUGGUCAGCAAACCCAGCUCAAGUCCUCUACAAAUCAAACCUCACAAAGUAAAGCACUCCGAUUCCGAUUCAUGUCAUGCUUCUGAUGGAUCUGGUUGUGGUCCCUGUGUAUUUGCGCAUCCAUAUAACUCUGAUUUGUCCAACAUGCUCAUGGAUUUUUCUGUAUUAUUUUGCAGGGCAAAUUACUAUAUUGCCUAUUUUCCUUUCAAAUCCAACGGGUCGAUGCAGGCUAGAGCUGGUAUAGAUUACAAAUAUUAGUUUUGCAUAGCACUGUAAUUUUGAUUGGUGAGAUCGGCCUAAUUUAAAAAAAAAAAGAAGAACAGCCAUUGCGCCAUUGAAUCCUAGAACAAAGCCUUUUCCCACUAAGUGGGGUCGGCUAUAUGAAUCCUAGAACGCCAUUGCGCUCGGUUUUAUGUCAUGUCCUCCGUUAGAUCCAAGUACUCUAAGUCUUUUCUUAGAGUCUCUUCCAAAGUUUUCCUAGGUCUUCCUCUACCCCUUCGGCCCUGAACCUCUGUCCCGUAGUCUACUCCUACUUUACCUCGGAUAUCCUCAUUCCCAAUCUUAUCCUUUCUCGUGUGCCCACACAUCCCACGAAGCAUCCUCAUCUCCGCCACACUCAUUUUGUGUACGUGUUGAUGCUUCACCGCCCAACAUUCUGUGCCAUACAACAUCGCUGGCCUUAUUGCCGUCCUAUAAAAUUUUCCCUUGAGCUUCAGUGGCCUACGACGGUCACACAACACGCCGGAUGCACUCUUACACUUCAUCCAUCCAUCUUGUAUUCUAUGGUUGAAAUCUCCAUCUAAUUCUCCGUUCUCUUGCACGAUAGAUCCUAGGUAGCGAAAAUGGUCGCUUUUUUGUGAUCUUCGCUAGAUUGCUCCGGUCAUUAGUGUGGAUAAGUAUAUAAAUGGAUAGAGACAGGAAAGCAAACACAAGAUGUACGUGGUUCACCCAGAUUGGCUACGUCCACGAAAUAGAGGAGUUCUCAUUAAUUGUGAAGGGUUUACACAAGUACAUAGGUUCAAGCUCUCUUUUAGUGAGUACAAGUGAAUGAUUUAGUAAAAAUGACAUUAGGAAAUAUUGUGGGAGAAUGAUCUCGUAAUCACGAAACUUCUAAGUAUCGGAGUGCGGUAUCGUCUUGACUUGCCUUAUCUGUCUCAUAGGUAGAUGUUGCAUCUUCUCUGGAAGUACUCUUCCUCCAUCCAGGGGUGGUAUCUUUAAACUGGUGGAGAUGCACAAGGUAAUGUAUCAAUUUCACUUGAAGCUUACUGUAGUUUCAGGCUUGGUCAAGCGCGAUACAAACCAUGUAGUAGGAGUCCCAAGUCGCCGAGCUAGAGGAUCGCUGAAAGAGGUGACAGAUAAGGUAAGCAAUCAGAGCUCCGGCUGAUUGUUCACAUUCUCCCUAUCUUGCAGGCAGCAUGAGGAUAAAGAGAGAAAAUGAGAAAGAUGAUAUGGGAUACUUUUUGCUUUUGAAGAUAACUUUCCACAGGCUUAUUCUUGAACUGAGCUGGAGGGUUUUCUGGUUUCCUCCAAAGUAUAAAAAGGCCGACUGAAGAAUUUGAGCGUCAAAACAAGUCCAUCAAACUAGAGUACGUUCAACCCUGCUGAUAUGGGAUACUUUGCUUUGACAGAGUAAUGGAUGUAUCGGCACGUGUGCUGUUUCGCUUGUCUCCACAUGCUUCCUUGCAUCGUUCUCCUUACCCUAUCUGUUCCAGGCAGAGCGGUAUCUUCCCUGGAAGCAUAAGAUGUUGAAGAUGAUACUCGAGAGCAAUGGUAGGUAAGUAAUCAGGUAAGGGGUUCCAGGCAGUCAGUUCCUGGCUGGAAGCUUGAUUCCAAGUGCUGACUGAUUGCUUCUUUUCUCCUUGUCUUGCAGAUAAGAAACAAGGCCAAAGGAAAAGACAGGGAAAAAGCAUGAUAUGGGAUACUCUUGCUUUUAACCCUGAUGAUAUGAGAUAUCUUGCUCUAGUAUAACUUGUUUUGCAGAGAUAUUAUCGGGGGGAAAGAAAGCUGAAUAUUUCGAAAGGCUUCGUUGGGAGUGCCCUCUCAGAUAUGAGGAAGGGUUGAGCAUUUUUGCAGGUCUGCCUGUCCGUUGGGGAUGGAGGUCGACAUAUAUAGGAGUCUCCUUAACAACAAGUAGUAAUGCUAUUCCUUUACCCUACUUAGACGCACAACAAAUCUGUGUAUUAUACACAUACCUGAGAUAUAAUGCUAGAUAUCUUUUUAUGGUUCUCAUAUUAUAUAAAAAAAAUUUGAGCAUGAAUUUGAAACUUUUUAUAAUUUCUAGAAAGAGAGACAAUGCAAUUGUGUUUUAUUGUUAGAGAAAAAGAUGUGUCAACUUGGGUUUGACUGAUUAAUGGGAUUUCACUCGAUUAGACCAAAUUGAUUUGAUGUUUUUCUAUUUGAAGUUGAGGAGUUAGAUUGGUGGGAAGCAAUGCAGAGGCACGUCAUCUUCUAACUGGGUCGUGGUCUUCUUUCUUCUCUUAUGAGUUUUUCUAGUUGAAGGAGUCAUCUGCUUCUUCUGGGAUUUUUGGGUCCAUAUUUGCGCCUUCUUCCGGCGUCGUUUAUUGGUAAGUUGUAAAACCUGUGUAGACCACCUCAUGUUCAUUUCAGAUUUUUGUAUCAAUCUUGUUUUAUAAUGGAAUUGCAAAUCAAGUAUAUUUUAGAUUCUUACUUACAUACUCACUUUUCCACAACUAUUAUAUUGUCUCUUGACUGGAUGAAUUUUCAUAAUUUCCUGGAUUUACAGUUACAAUGCUUUUUAUAAUUUCCUAAAUCUAUCCUUUUUGUCUGUGCAUGAUUAUGUUGAUUUUUUUUUUAAGGUUAAAUGUGUCUUAUUCAUGUAGUUAAGGUUGGUGCAUUCAAGUUCCGCAGCAACGCGCGGACAUUUUUUCUAGUAUUAGCUGUGCAGAUUGGAUGAAACUCUGUAAGUUGACUAUAUAUUAGUAUGCAUUCAAAUUCUGGAUGUCAAAAUAUAAUUGUCUCCAGUAAUAGUAAAUUUCGUUAUCGUUAUGGUGUAUAGAUCAAGUGGAUUAAUUAUAGCUACGUGGGGUGCUUCAGGGUGUAAGGCAUGUGGAUAACUUUUCAGUGGUCGAAUGGUGUUCUUCAAAAUGUUUUGAUUAAUUUUCUUGAAGUUCAGUUGCUAGCUAGUUUUUUUUUUAUUUUUUUUAUUUUUUUUAUUUUUAAAGGGAUGAUAGUGUUCUCAUUCCCUUAAUCUUAUUAAAAUAAAAACAAAAAUACAAACAAGGGUGUGGAUGUAAAUUUCUGUCUUCUUCUUGGACGAAAAUACACCUGCAAAACAAUUAACACCUUAGGUUAAGGCCAAGAGCGUCACUUGACCAUGAUGAAUGGGGGGGCAUUUGGCCGAAGAAUUUCCGAUGCUAAAGUUAGAAUUUGAGGGAGAAAGUAUUUGGAGAAAUUUAGAGAAUUUCAGAAGAGGUGUGGUCGGCCCUAUUAGGAAAUUUGGGACCGGACACAUGGUUGAUUUGUGGGAUUGAUAACAAGAUAUUAUGUGAAAUAAUAUCUUGCAAUUAAUUUGGUAAUUAAUCAAUUAAUCUCAAUUUGAAAAGAAUAAUUGGGAGUUACUUUGUGGGUGAGGAUUUAAUGAGAAGUGAUGAGAGUGUAUUAAAAGAAUACCAUUUUGAUCACAUUUGAGCUCGAUUGAGUUGUUAUUGUCUGUUACAUAUGUGGGAAUCCUAGUGUGCCUUAAGGGUAAAUUUGUUUUUUUAACUCGAAAGUCCAUGAGUCACUUCCAUAUUUUUCUUGAUUAUUUUUUGUUCCACAAAGGGCAAUACAAAGGCAAACCUUCUUGAGGAAAAAAAAACGUAAAACAAAAAAUCAACCCCACAAACAAAGAAAACAUAUAAUGAAAAUCAUUUGAAACGAUGGUUGGUAGAAGCAGAAAGAUCAUGAAUAUAAGCAGAAAUUUCACAAGAAAGAACGUUCACCAUCAGUAAUAUGCAUCGUGAUUUACAUGGAAGUUAGCUAAGGCAUCAGGCACACAUGCAGUUGCUAGCUAGUACAGUAGUAGCUAUAUUACUCGACUUUUAUUUUAUGUUUUUAUUAAUUAUUAGGUGUACCAACAGUUAUAUGAAUUUGGAACAUUUGUCAACAUUAAGACAGAGUAUUUGGAGCUAAUGAAGAAUUUGGUGCAAAACCGAGUGCAGUGGUGUUCUAGGAUUUAUACAGUUAAUAAGACUUUGUUGUUGUUUGUUGUAAGAAAAAGAGUAUUAUUAAAUCAAGUGCUUGUUUAAUAGCAAAAAUAAUAGAGACUACUGAAAAAGCAAAAAGAGUAUAUGCACUUGCCACUGUCAUAUUCUUGUCGAGUUCAUGUGCGAUAUUAAUUUGUAAGUACAACGUUGGUUGUAAAGAUCUGACUUUUCUUAUAAAUAAUAAAUAAAAAGAAAAACUAAUGAAAAAAAGCUUGAAAAUUAUGAGUUUUAACGAUAAAGACCAAAUAAAGAGUAAAGUGAAUAGUAUCAGGAUUGACUUUUUAAUGUAAAAAUGUGGUUUUUCGUUAAAGUAAACAGUACCGGGAGUUUUUCACUAAAAAAGAAAAGAAGAAGAAAGGUACGAUCUCAUGUAAUUGGUACAGGGUGGGCAUGCAUGGACUUGUAAUACAAGUCAAGAAAAAUAUUAAAGGGGAUCCUAUCUCCUAUAAGUAGCAUGGUAACCGAUAACAGUUCAAAAUAGGUUUUCCAUCAUUUCACACAUACUCUCUCCAAAAUCCGCCGGUAAGCCUUUUCAUAAUAUAUAUAUAACUUCUUAAUACUCUUAGCUCUUGUGCAGUUUAUACCUUUUUUCUUUAUCCAAUGAACUAAUUAAGAAGGCGAGAAGGUUCUAAAUUAGCUGACAUUAAUUAAAUUAUAAAUGAUCAUAUUGUUAACAUCUUUGCAAUUAUGGUGCAAAAAUGAAGAUCGUUGUGAAGGUGCCAUUCACUGUGACAAAUGAGAAGCAAGGCCUUCGAAGAGCAGUUAAGCACGCGGUAGGCCUUUGAUAUUACAUGAUUCAAAUUUUCUUUCACGAUUUCAAAAAAAGUUGGCAUGGUUAUUAAAGAGUAAUCAUAAUAAUGAAAGCAGGUGUUAGUAAUGUCCGAUAGAAGGAAAACAAAAGGGAUGAUUGAUGAAGUCUUGAGGAAAAGGUUCGGCUGUUGCUGCGCCCUAGUCAAAGUUGAAGAAGUGAAGCCGCUGCCUGUGGUGAAGCCGCCUGAGCCGCCAGUGAAGCCGCCUGUGGUCAAGCCUCCAGCUCCUCCAGCAAGCUGUGUUCAAAACUGUUGCACUUGCACUCCCCAUUGUCGUUCAAUGUACUGUGUUCAAUACUGUUGCACUCCUCAGUUUCGUCCAAUGUACUGUGAACUGGUUCGUGAAUAUCCAGAACCAACCACUUGCUCCAUAAUGUAAUUGCGUAUGAUGUGAAUUAGUUGAACUUGAUUAUGAUCAUUUUCAUUAUCUCUUUUCCCUUGUAGAUGCAUGGAUAUAAAGUUCAUAAGAAAUAUUUUUAUAUCAAUUGCUUCCCUCUUUGAAAUUUUGUUUGUGUUUCUGCUUGUGCCUUUUUCAUGUGUUUCCUAACCCAUAUGGAAUUGCUUAGGUACUAGGAAAUACUUUUGAUCAUAACAAGUUUGUCAGGAACACUUUUUCAUGUGCCCUUUUCAUAAGUGCUUUUAUCAGAAACACUUUUAUCACAAACAUAACAAGUUUGUAAUCCGAAGAGACCAUCAUUUAUAUGAGUUGCCUUUAUUUAAUGUAUACGCUGUUUGGAUUAAACCUUGAUUUUUGGCCCAAGGAUGGAGAUGAUGCACCCAUAUUAUUGUUUUGUUUCAUCAUCAAACUAGGAAAAGAAAAAGGAUAGGGAAGAUCACAGAAUUGAACUGACUAGGUACAAUACUAAAGAAGAAGGCUUGAAAGUUAUGACCCCAACUCAAUAACAAAAUAGGUGUAAUUUCACCAAAAGAGUAGAAAUGUGGUGAUGACACAACUUUAUUAUAUCCAAGGGAUGAUUUCGUUUUGCUUUUGAUUUUGGGACUGAAGGUUUAUUGGAAAAAACCAUUGGAGGCAACUUAAUUUUUAUGUAAUUACAAAUACAAAAAAAAACUUGCCAAUCAAAUAGUGAAUCAUUGUAGUCUAAAAUUGUCUAGGUGGUCCAGUGGUUGGAGACAAAAAUCUACACGGCAUGUCCUGAGUCUGAUUCCUGGAGCUGGGUGAAUCACAAGAUGGUGGCCAGGGGAGACUAAAAUGCCUAUGUAAAGUCUUCUCGGCCCUCGAAAGAGUAGAAUGUUGUGACAAAGACUUCGGCUGGUCAUCUUUUUAAAAAAUGAAAUAAAAUUGUCGUUUCUCUAACAUUUUUCUAUUAUAAAAUAAUAAACUUUUUUUUUUGAACCGGGUAAAAGCUUAAAUUUUUUUUCAAAUUCGAUUUUCAAUUUGCGUAACAUUAUUCUCCCUCUACGUACUUUGAAGGGAAUUCAUCGAAAGAUGGCCAAAUUAAUCUACACCAUGUACUACUCUUGUGGCAAUAGUUAAUCAGGCGGCCCUCCCCCCCCCCCCCCCCACACGACCACGACGUACAACUCUUGUGGCCUCCUAGGUAGAAUAGUUCAAUCAUAGCCAUGUAGUGGCCUCAAAUGAGGACACAAUCUAGGUAGAAUAGUUCAAUCAUAGGCACCCGAUCCACGUGUCAAGUAAGCUACUGUUUAAUUGAUCUUAUCUCUUUAUAUAUUGGUUAAUGACAAAUCGAACAUUGAGGUAUAUAUUAUAGGAAAAUUCUUAUUAUGAUUAGGGGUGGGCACGGUUUGGUUCGGUGCGGUUUUGAGUGAAACCAAAACCGAAACCAAAUUUUUUUGCGGUUCGGUUCGGUGCGAUUUUGAAGCCAAAACCGAAAUGAAACCAAACCAUUUGGUUCGGUUCGGUGCAGUUUCAAACGGUUUCGGUUUGGUUUUUAAGAAAAAAUGUACAAUUUGCAAUUUAACAUAUUAAUAAGCAUUUUCCAGUAGCAAUAGGAAAAAUGCAUUUGUUAUAUAAACAAUUAGCAUGUUGCAUGCAGUUGUGAUGUUAAAACAUGUUUGUGUAACAAAAGAGUGUCCCGUACAACGUAUAACAUAAUACAAGUUGAAUAACUUUGAAUUCAUUAUAAGUGAGCGAAACUUUCAUACUAGAAUAUGUGAUAUCAUGCUUCAAAUGAAUACUUCAUAGAUCAUUGUUGAUCUAUACAAGAUUAGUCCACCCUUGUACAAUAUGUGUGUGUGUGUGUGUGUGUGUGUGAUGGUAUAAAAUAACAAAGGUCCUUCAAGUUAAUGAACGAAAGAAAGUGAUGAGUGAUGAUAUUUUAGUGUGGUUGAGUCCAUACUAAGUGCAUGGAUUCUAACAAACAACCAAUUAAAACAUGAAAUUUAAUAUGGACAUUUAAUUAGAUAUUUAUUAAUAUUUGCGGUGCGGUUUUCAAAAGCCAAAACCGAAACCAAACCAUUUUCUAUGUUGCGGUUUGGUUUCAAAACCAAAACCGUUCCAAAACCACAAAACCAAACAAUUUGGUUAAAUCGUUUUCGGUUUCGAUUUUCGAUUCUAAGUGCCCACCCCUAAUUAUGAUGUCUCCAAUUAAACAACCAAAUGUUAAACUAAAUUAUAUGUAGGGUUUUUUUAUCACGGUUUGGUCUUUGAAAUAGGACCUUCCUAUCCAGUGUUCUAAAAAUUGAUCUAGGCGGUGGUCAGCCGUUGCGAUUAACCUAUAGUCGGGAGGAAAAUCGGGGAAGGGAUUAGGCGCCAAGGCGGUCCAGGCGGCGCUUGGGCGGCCUAGGCGGGCGAUUGGAUGGCCUAGGCGGUCUUGGCGUUUCACUGCCUUUUUUUGGUUUCAAAAUGCGAGGAAUGCAGAGCACAGCUGCACAAUCAGUGGGUUUUGAAUUCCAGCGAGGAAGACGAAAGAAGAACAGAGAGAAAAUGAGGGUACAGCAUCCAGCUAGCACAAUGUGCCCCACCUGCAAUCUUUGGUUUCCCACCUCAUUUUUUUUACGUAAUUAUUUUAAAUUGUUGAUUAAAUACUUUUUUUUUGUCAAAUACUUUGUUUGCAAAGAUUAAAUGAUUUAUAACCAUAUAUUUGACACCUUUAUUCUUCUUUAAAUGCACUAUAAAUUCAUAUCAUAUUUGAAAAAAUUUCCUAAAGUACUACAGAUUUGUAUCAUUUGAACUUGUAUCUUAUUCCAUCAAAUUCAUCAAAGUACUAAUGAUAUAAUUUGUGUAUUCUCUACUAUUUUUGCAUUUUAUCAUUCUUUUAUUAUUCAUACAAAUAUUUUUUUAAGGUGUAAAUAGACACUUAUUUACAAGAUAUAUAAUAAAUUUACAUAAAUCCACCUAGGCCGCCUAGGCGUCCGCCUAUGCCUUGCCUAACCGCCUAGGCACUAGGCCCCUGCCCGCCGUCCGACUAGCGUCUAUCGAUUUUUAGAACCUUGUUCCUAUCAAAAUGAUUUUUGAAAUUAAAAAUCCAUCAAUUUGAUCUCUAAAAAUGGACCGCAAAUCAAUUCAAUCAUUUUGUUACAUUUUCAUUAAAUUCUCUGUUAAUAUGCUUAUGUGGCAAACGAGUGAGUCACAUGGAUACAAUCAUAUGAUGCCACGUGGAUUAAUCAUAAAACCAAAUUUUGUACCUUCUAAGGUGGGGAUCCUACUUUUAACUCUAAAGCUAAUAUGCGCAAGUCAAAAUAGAAUUGUCUGUAACUAUUGAGCCCAAAGCUAAACAUGACUUUGCAUUUGACUCCAAAGUACUGAACAGCUCAUAUAAGCACUAAGUCUCGAAUAUCCCUAAUCAUGAGAUGUAUAAUAUUUGUCACAAUAAAUUAAGCGAGACCUAUUUAAGAUUAAUAUUUUGUUAGUGAAUGCAAAGCCUGUUAUAAAUCUUAAUUAAGUGAUCUCUCUUUUUUUCGGUAGAUUAAUAUAAAAUAUCGUUUGUAAUACUUUGUGUAAUAAUCAAUAAAAAAAAUGGCGUAAUUUAAAGGCUUGCACAUAUAUAUGGUGGACUUGGAUUGUCUGCCUUCCCCCAUCUCAUCCCCUCCUAUUUUUAUGGUUACGGUUAAGCCACGUCAACAUUUUAUAUUGAUUUUUUUUAUAGAAUUAAUAAGACAAAAAACAAUGAAUAGGAGAGGAUGAGGAGGGUAUGGGAUGGGGAGGGUAUGGGAUGGGGAUGGCAGACAAUCCAAGUCCCUUUUUAUUGACCCCUAAAGCAGUGUUCUAAAAAUCGGCCUAGGCGCUGGGCGGUGGCCGGCCGAGGGGAUUAAUGCAAAAUCGGGAGCAAAAUCGGGAUAGGGAUUAGGCAGAGCAACUGCAUUUUUUUGGGUUUCUUCUGGUUUUCGUUCGGUUUGGCGGAAGAGGAAGACGAAGACGAAUACGUUCUCUCUCUUCCUUUCACACCACGUGACCACACACUCUUCUUAUUUAAUUUUUUUUCUUAGUUUCUCUCCAAUCAAAUUUGUACAGCUAGCAUCAAAUUGCUUGCUUUGUGUAAAAAGUCAUAGGCUGUCAGUUCGGUUCGUGUGUCAGGUUGAAGAUGUCACCAUUAAGUCUUGGUGCAAAUUGCAAAGUUCCCAUGCGUCCACAUCCACAUAUUUGACAUAAAUUAAUGGUAAUGAUGUGUGUGCCCUUUCCACAUCCACAUAUUUAACAACUUUAUUUCUCUUUAUAUUCAACAUAAAUUAAUAUGAUCUCUAAAAAAUAUUAUUAUGAACCACCAUAUUGACAUCAGAAUUUUAUGUUUAUCAUGAACCAUCCAACCCAAUAUUAUUACUUUUAUUUUUUAAAAAUUAGAUAUAAUCAUUCAAAAUGUUUUAAGUUAUAUGGCAUAUAUGCUUAAUGUGUUUUUUAAUUUUGAAUUUGUUAGAUACUUUUUUUGUAUUUUAUCAUUCUUUUAUUAUCUUAUCCAUGAAUUUCAUACAAGUAUAAUUUUUUGGAAAUUUUAAUAUGCACUUAUUUACAAGAUAUACAAGAAAUUUACCUAAAUCCGUUUAGGCCGCCUAGUCGCUAGGCGCUAGCCCGCCGCCCGACUAGCGCCUAGCGUUUUUUAGAACCUUGCUCUAAAAUGCUCAAGUACAAGAAUUAAAAAUACCCGACAAAAAUUCAUUGAUUCGUAGAAUAUAGAGCUUCCGUACGGAAAACAAUCUAGCCUUUUGUACAACGGUGCGGCAAAAGAAAGUUACGAAGGUGCACUUGAGCUCUGAAAAACCCAGAACCAAGGCCUUGAAGAUUGCUGCAGUCGCUAAAGGUAUGCAAAAUAUAUGCACCGAUCUUUAAACUUUAAGGCCAUCCUAAUCCACCAUCUAAAGGGAUCUUUUAGUCCAUAAAAUAUCUAAAGGCCAUCUCCAGCAAGCAGGUUAUAAGUAGGUGCACUUGAGCUCUGAAAAAACAUGUGUUGUUCUUGUUUCAGCACCUAAUCCUUCAAGCAUAUAACAUCUGAAAUCCUAUUUGAUUUUUAUUGACUGAAUCAUGCACCUAAUUCAUAUCACACAUCCAUAGGUACUUGAGAACGUUUAUUCCUACCACUAUUGCGUUGUCACUUUCGUAUGUUUUUUCACUGAUAAGAAAAGGAAAGAGCAUCACGAAAAACACUAACAAUUUUAACUCUCAAACGUCACCUUAUUCCUAUAACCCACCUCAAUCAACAACAAAAGAAGAAAAAUAAUUGAUCCCUUCAAAGAUGCUUUCAUGAAUGCUAAAAGAUGUCCUACCCAUCCAAACGAAAGCAGGAUGUUAUUUUCAGUCCCAUGUAAUGUUAUUUUCAGUCCCAUGUGAUAUCGGCACAGUGGAGGGCGAAAAGAAUAAAUAUAUGUUAGAAAGACAACUACAUCACAACCCAAAGAUUAAUUAAAGAAAAAAAUAUCCAAAAUGUAUGUCAGAUAUUUUGAAAUUAUAAAUACAAAUCCAAAAACAAAAAAAUCAAAAAAGAAAAAGUCUUGAACAAUUGGCUAUAUGGGAUAAAUUUAACAUGUUACUCACUAUAAUUCGGACAAAGAUUGUUUGCCCUCCCACUUCCGGUACCCUCCUGUUUUGUGUGGUCACGGUUAAGCCACAUUAACAUAUUAUAUUGUUUUUUUUAAAAGAUAAUAAGACAAAAAUAAAUAUUAAUAUAAAAUGUUGAUGUGGAUUAACCGUGACCACACAAACAAGAGAGCACGAGAAGGCACCGGAAGUGGGAGGACAGACAAUCCUUGUCCCUAUAAUUCUCAUCCUCUUGUGAAUAUCAUCAGCAAACUCAUAUUUUUCACUCUUACGUAGAGUACCAUAAGCCUCCUUUAGCACGCCCUCAGGGUCCUCUAUCUUUAUGGGUAUCUUAGAAUCAGAGUCUUCCAGCACAGCAAAGACCUAGGAAAGAAAUUAUAAUUUGAACACUAACAAGUUAAGCACGUUUACAAUUGUUGUGUUUGGCUCAUAUAAUUAUGAGCUGGCAACUAUCUCCUCUCAACUUUGUGGACUUUGGAAGCAUGUUUUGUGGAAGCAUGUUUUGUGGACUUUGGAAACAUGACCCCGUAAACUUUGUUUUUUAGUGGUUGACAUAAUUGAUGGUGCAUGUCUAUAAGUGAAGGCAUUUUUCAUACACAAAGAGAAGUGAGCUUGCCGAUUGUGAAGAAAGUGGGUGUGCAUCCGGAAAACACAAAGAAGAGAAAAAUAUAGAGUGAGAGUGAGAAACUCUUGGGGAGAGUGAGUCUCUUAGUAAAAUUCUGUGAGGGUACAAGGGGUUGGGGUUUGGGUUAUGUUGAUUUAACUCAAGUGUAUCUUGUACUAGUUAUUCUCAUAGUGAAGAGCAAUAUCUCUUGGAGGACGUAGGCAGGUUUUUGCCGAACCUCGUAAAUCUCUCAGUGUCUUUAUUUCUUGUAUUUUAUUCUGUUCAACUGAGUGUGAAUAUGGUGAGGUUGUAAUCUGAAUCUCGUUUCUGAACUAACGAACGGGCCAAGGCACAACAAUUGGUAUCAGAGCUUUGUUGGAAGCUUUGGUUCAUUGACGGUUCAGAUUUUUUAUUCACCAUGAUGACUACAAACAUGUCAUUUUCAGUUGAGAAGUUUAAUGGGAAAGACAGUUUUACUCUUUGGCAGAUGAGAGUAAAGGAUGUCUUGACUCAACAAGGCUUGGCUAGAGCUUUGAAGGGAAAAGAUGGGAAGCCUCAAUAAAUGACAGAUGACCAGUGGGAGGAGCUGGAGGCGUGUUGUGUUAGCACGAUUCGACACUGUAUAGCUGAUAACAUUAUCAAUAAUGUUAUGGAUGAAGAUUUUGCGCCUGCACUUUGGGAGAAGUUGGAAAAACUCUAUAUUGCUAAGAGUUUGACCAACAAGUUGCAUUUGAAGCGGAAACUGUACAAGUUGAAGAUGGAUGAAGGUGGGAAUCUCAUGGACCACAUGAAUGAGUUCAACGGAUACUUGGAUCAAUUGCGGAAAGUUGAUGUUAAGGUUGAGGAAGAAGACAAAGCCUUCUUACUUCUUACCUCACUUCCAGAUUCGUAUGAAAAUCUUAUGACAACCUUACUGCAUGGAAAAGAUACAGUAAGUUUGGAGCAGGUGCAAGCUUCUUUGGUGUCUUAUGAUACACAAAAGAAGAAGACCAUUGUUGAUGGUGGGCACGAGACUGCUUUAGCUGUUCAAGGUUGGAAUCGUGGAAGAAAAUUGGGAGAAGGAUCUGAGAGAGACAACAGGUUCAAAUCCGGUUUCGGAGGCAAAGGUCUACAAUGCUACAACUGCAAAGAAUUCGGGCAUAAAAAGAAAAAUUGUCCUUUGAGAAAAAGAAAGGAUGAUCUUGGUCCAGGUUGUAGCAAUUUUGUGGCGGAAGACUUCGAGUAUGCCCUCUAGGUACUCGAAGCAACACUUCUCCUGGUGAUGUUUAGUCUCAAGUGUUGCAGGGGUUUUGCAACAGGUGGAGCUAUGGGAUUCACAGGUGAUGAGAUAAUCAUGAGGUAGGAGGAAGUGUGGGAAUUUUGUCUGGCUCGAUGGGUUGUUACUGGAAAUGGGCGCGCUGACGAGUUUCCAGGUUGCAGACAAUGAAGAGGAGGAAAACCUGCUGGAGGAGACGAGGAUGUGUCGAGAUCCUGUCUGAAGCUAAAUGGUGAUUUUUAGCUUGCAGCAGCUGCACAUGCAUUGGCAGUGACUGAAUCAGGAACAGGACCAACAAGGUUGAUUCAGGGUGUGUAUGCUGGUACGUAAGGCCAAUGGACAUUGGUGAUGGGUGCAAGGAUUUUUGCACAGUAUAUUCGCCAAGGUGGAGAUUGUUGUGUUUGGCUCAUAUAAUUAUGAGUUGGCAACUAUUUCCUCUCAACUUUGUGGACUUUGGAAGCAUGUUUUGUGGAAGCAUGUUUUGUGGACUUUGGAAACAUGACCCCGUAAACUUUGUUUUUUGGUGGUUGACAUAAUUGAUGGUGCAUGUCUAUAAGUGAAGGCAUUUUUCAUACACAAAGAGAAGUGAGCUUGCCGAUUGUGAAGAAAGUGGGUAUGCAUCCGGAAAACACAAAGAAGAGAAAAAUAUAGAGUGAGAGUGAGAAACUCUUGGGGAGAGUGAGUCUCUUAGUAAAAUUCUGUGAGGGUACAAAGGGUUGGGGUUUGGGUUAUGUUGAUUUAACUCAAGUGUAUCUUGUACUAGUUAUUCUCAUAGUGAAGAGCAAUAUCUCUUGGAGGACGUAGGCAGGUUUUUGCCGAACCUCGUAAAUCUCUCAGUGUCUUUAUUUCUUGUAUUUUAUUCUGUUCAACUGAGUGUGAAUAUGGUGAGAUUGUAAUCUGAAUCUCGUUUCCGCACUAACGAACGGGCCAAGGCACAACAACAAUCAUACAGGUCAGAUUUCUUUUUUAAAAUAAUCAUUUCAAAAUGCCAAGGAGAGACAAUUACAAAGAGAGAAUAAUACCUGUUUUUUAUUAAGAUGGUAGCAAAAUUCGUUAUAGAGUCGUCCUCCAAGCUUUUCAUCUUUUAUAUCAACAAACACUAAAACUGGGCAGCUUGGUACAUCAACAGAAGGUUUACCAUCCAAAUCAUGUUUAAGCAAUUCAUCAGGUAUAUACAUCUCCUUCAAGAGACGUUUGGGCCUACAAUUUGAUCCGCAAUAUUCUUAUUGCAUGUAAAACUAAUUUUGGGGAACCAAAUGUUGGCAAAUAUAAUAAUCACCCUAUUUAGUUCACUUCUUCAUAAGGGGUAAUCUUAUAUAAAAGAACUUGAAACAAAUUCAGGGGGCGUUUGUUGUGCCGGACUGUCUCGGACUGGACUAGCUGCAGGGACUAAGCUGGACUGGCUUAGACUAAACUAAGCUGGACUAACUUAGUGAAGCGUUUGAUGCAGUGUCGGACUAAGAAGCAGGAUUAUAAAAACAGUAAUGUUCAUCAGAUUUGUGUUUGCUUACACUAGGACUACAAAUUUUUGUCAUUGUGUAAUAAAGUAAUGCUACAAAUGUCAUGAGAAGAUACUUGUGUAAUAGAGUAAUCCUAAACUUUAUGCAAUAAAAUCGAACAUUAACUAAUGAUAGUUUUCUUGGAUUAUAGAGUUUAAGAAAACGGAACUCAUAUUAGAUAUUUGUCUGAAGCAAGUAAAAUUGCCAUGGAAAAUGUCACUUAAGUUCUUCACAUGCAUGAUAUAUGGUGUUCUGGUUCUCUGUUGGGUGAAGAUGACUAGGAUCCAAUGGUGGUAGGGUUUUGAAGGAAGAGGAAACGUGAGUACUAAUACUUUGGUUUCAAGAAUCCUCCAAGUGUACCCAACAAACCUUGCUCAAAAGAAAAGAAGAUAGAAAAGCAUGGUAAUUAAACAUGCUAUAAGGGCCACCUCUUUUUCCAUGUGGCAUAAUUCAUAGCUAACUAGCUUAACAAGCAAGAACAAGUACAUAAGAAGAUACUUGUGACAAGUCAAUCUUUGCCAUUGAUUGACUCUUAAAACAUCAUUCACUAAACUUUCAUCCAGGAUAUUUUACAAAACACCAGUGAACUAUAGUAUACCAUUCAAAAGUAGAUCUCCAUAAUUUACAAACUCCUAGUUAACAUUAGCCAAAAUACUUCAUAGUGGAAAGCUAAGUUAUAAGUCAUAACCUAAGAUUGUACGAUUAAUAAAAUACAUCCAUAUCAAAAGGCACCACAUAAUAUACUCAUCCGCUUGCUUUGUCGCUUAAAAGCCUUUGGACAAACACUUUCUUGAGUUCCGGUUUGAUUGCCCUGAACACUUCCACAUUUUUUGGUUUAUCCAAAAUAAGAGACAAUGCAUCAAUUUGAUCCAUAGGAGAAAGACCAAUUUCUUCAAGUUCGUUAGCUAUGUCACUAUGAUCUGCAGUACCUUGAACUAAAGCUUCAGUUACCAUUUGCAUCCUCUUCCCACUUUCAACAUAAAAUUCUUUCAGUCCACUGAUAAUUGCCUCGGUUCCAUCACUUGAACUUCUCACACCUCUUUUCCUCUUUCGUUGGCUAUUUUCAGAUGGGAUGCUUUGUUGGCUUUGUUCGUUCAUUGAAGAAACAACAUUUUCACCUCCAAUAUCACUUGCACCAACCUGAUCAUGACUUUGUUCCUCCACUAUUUCAGCAGGGGUUUCGGCUACAUUACCCGUAGCCCGAUCUUUUCCAAAUAUAUAUGCAAAUCUAUCAUACAGUGGAAAAGGUUUGCUUCUCCAUCCAUCGGCUUCUUUAUUUUUCUAAGAUUAUAUCAACAUAGCAAAACUAAAAUUGAGCAUGCGUAACAAAUAUAGCAACAAGAACAAAACUAAUGUAUAAAUAAAAUAGGAUAUGAACCUGCACAUAAGUUUGCCAUGCAUCAUCACUGUCAACUUCAACGCACUUUUUGACAUUAUUCCAUGCAAAUCCACUUGCAUUUAUCAUGUCAACGACCAUACUAUAUGUUUUUUUUCCAUUUCUUCAACUUUGACUCAAUAUGUGGAGUUGCUUUUAUAUUGGAAUGAGGACAUAAAACAUUGACAGCUUUCGCUAUUUCAAUCAAAGUACCUUGUUUGAAAGCACCGGUGUCACACCGUUGCUUCCGAGCAACAAAAUCCUCAAGAACGGAUAGUAAUACUUCUUCCUCAAAUGCUUCCCAUUUACGCCUUCUUCCUUUUGGCUCUUGAGUAGCAUUCAAAAUAUUGUCUUUAUCCAUACCUAAACAAAAAAUAUUUGAAUGUACUAAAAUACAAUACAAAUAAUCAAUUUGCAUAAUAUCCAAAUAAUUUGCAUACCAUCCAAUCAAUAAAAAAGUUUUAACAUUCACUGAUGAGCAAUCUAACAAUUAUGCUAAUAUCCAACAAAUGCAUGAUAAAAAGGAAUACUAAAAUAAAAUGUUAUCAUUAACACAUAUAGCUAGUUCGGUUGCUGGUUCCUAAUUGCUCUCCACUCAUCAUACAUUUCCUGAGCCAUGGCAUUCCUCUUUGCAGUCCACUGGUCAGAUGUUUCAACACUACCAACAUAUUCACCUUCUUCUGUAUUUUGUCCAUCUUGUAUUAUUGGCAAAUUUUCCAGUGGAUCUACAGCCAUCUCUUGCCUAAUAAGAUUGUGUAGUAGGCAACAAGCGGUAAUUAUUCGAUCUUGUGUCCUUAUUGGAUAGAAAUAUGGACUUCUUAGCAUCGACCACCUUCUUUUUAGCAAGCCAAAACAACGUUCAAUUACAUUCCUUGCCUUAGAAUGCUUCAUGUUAAAAUACUCUUUCUUAUUAGAAGGCGUUCGUCCCUCCCAUUCAGAUAAAUGAUAAGGUAUUCCUCUAUAGGGUGCAAGGAAUCCUUCACCAUUUGUAUAACCACCAUCUACAAGGUAAUAAUAACCUAAUAAUAAAAAAAAAACUUUAUUAGUGUUUUGUAGUUGACAAACAAAACUAGACCUAACUUACAAAGUUGAGACUAACUAAUACUCUUACCUGUUGGUACCUUAAAACCAUUAGGCCUAGUAAUUGCAUCAUGUAUCACUCUAGAGUCUGAUGUGGAACCCUCCCACCCCGGAAACACAUAUAUGAACUGCAUAUCUCCUGAACACACACCUAACACAUUAGUUGCGACUCGACCAUUUCUUGUUCGGUAUCUUGGUUUGUCAAUUUCAUGUACAUGCACAUCAAUGUGUGUUCCAUCUAUUGCUCCCAAGCAAUUCUAAAAAAAAUAAAAUAAGCUUUUGUUAAUUUAUACAAAGGGAAUGAAGAGUUAAAGCUUAGGGAAAAUGAAAAAAAAUUAUCAUACCUUAAAACAUCGCCACCUAGGAUCUGUAUAAUCAAUAGACACAGGCUGAGAGACUUUUAGUAGGAUACCUUGUAAUCGCAAAAUUCCUUGUAAUCGCAAAAUUCCUUGCAAUACGCUAUUGAAAUACCUACUUAUAGUCUCUCCCGACCUAUAAAAUCUACCGCCAACACUACGAUUCUUAGUAUGAUGUGCUAGUAUUUGUAAAGUCAUACACACCUGCUCCUCUACAGAUACCAAACCAUCAGUUUUUACCCUCCCAUCUUGACGAAGUAAGUCACAUAAUAUGGCAAAAGUCCUUCUAUCCAUUCUCAAUUCGUUGACACAUUCAAUAUCAGUAUUCCCUAUUAUACCAUUCAGAUAACACAAACUAAUCUCUCGUCUAACAAGUGAACGGUUAAUCAAAGUGGGCCGUUCAACAUGUCUCUGUUUGGCCCUUACCAUCAUCAACACAAGAAUCGUACAAAUGCAAAUUGUCUCUAAAUGAGACAUCUCUAACAAUAAGAUCAAUAAAAGCUUCAUUCGAUCCAUAUCUAUCCAAACACAAAAAAAAAGGAAAAUUAAAUAAGGACAUUAUAUAUGUAAUAUUUACUGUUAUUAAGGGUGAUGGAAAUGAAGUGAUUAUGAUACGAAAUGAACUAGAUCAAAAUAAACGGUAUACAAAGAAUUCUGAAACAAGUAACUGCAUUAACAGCCCAAAAAAUAACCAGCCAAGUCACAAUUAAUGUUGGAUCAACAAAAAAAAAAAAAAAAAAACAGUCAAGUCACAAUUGCUAGGCAUUGCAUGUCAAGAGGGAAAUUAAAGGACACCUGUAAUGCAGUAGCCUUAGCCUUAUCCUUUCGUUUAUGCUCCUCUUCUCUGCAACCAACAACCACAGAAUAUUGCAGUUCAGCAUACAAAACAUUCACAUUGUAAUAUCAUGGUUAUAAACUAAAUACACACACACGCAGACACACACACUUACAGUGCAGAAUACACACACACACACACACACACUUACAGACACACACACAGAAUAUUGCAGUUCAGCAUACAAAACAUUCACAUUGUAAUAUCAUGGUUAUAAACUAAAUACACACACACGCAGACACACACACUUACAGAGCACACACACACACACUUACAGUGCAAAAUACACACAUACACACACACUUACAGAGCGUGCGCGCGCGCGCACACACACACACACAUUCACACACACACUCACAGACCAACUAAAGACACACACACACAUAAACACACCAACUAAACUCACAGACCACAAAAAAAACAUCCAUUCUAGUUCAAGAUCAAAAGAUGAGCAAUUAAGUAAGGACAAAAAUAGUUCAAACCGAACACUAAUCUUUUGAAUGAAACUCAACCGCAACAUGAGGAGAAAAGCAGAGAGAUUGUUGCAGGGAGGACUUCCAGUUGGAACAAAAAUUCUAGACCAACCCUACCUCCUUCCCUGCCUCACCCUCUCUCGCUCCCCCCCCACGUUAAUGAGUACACACAAACACACACACGCACACACAGAAAUUACACACACACACACAUAGAGUACACAAACACACACACACAAUACACAAACACACACACACACACCCCCCCACGUUAAUGAGUACACACAAACACACACACACACACACAGAGUACACAAACACACACACACACACAGAGUACACAAACACACACACACACACACACCCGGUUAAUGAGUACGCACAAACACACACACACACACACACACACACACACACACACACAGAGAGAAAUUACACACACACACACACAGUACACAAACACACACACACACACACACACCCCCCCACGUUAAUGAGUACACAUAAACACACACACACACAUAAAUUACACACACACACAGACAGUACACAAACACACACACACAGAAAUUACACACACACCCCCCCCACGUUAAUGAGUACACACAAACACACACACACACAGAGAAAUUAAUCACACACACACAGUACACAAACACACACACACACACACACCCCAUCCACGUUAAUGAGUACACACACACACACACACAGAAAGUUAUAAAGAAACAAAAUGAAACAAGAAUUAAAAAAAUGAAAACAAAAACUUAAGAGAAAAGAGAAAUGCACAAUCAAGUUAUCCAUGCUCAGUGACAUUAGAAUAUGCAAACAGAAUAAUUGACCUCAUCAUCCAGAAAAGUUAAGCUAAAGAAACGCAAAUGUUUCGAUAUGAGCUAAAGCAUACCAAAACAACUAUGCCCAGUUAUGUUCGAUUAACCUAAUUUGGCAGUGAAAGACGUUCUAGUGAAUGACAUGACUUUAACACUAAAUCGAGAAGAGGAAACUCUUCUGCACUAACUCAUCAAUUCAUCCUAAUUUGGCAGAUAGAAACAUACAGUGAAAGAGGUGCUUGGAGACGAGGAUUUUUGGUAAUGACAUACACAUAAAUUACACACACACAGACACACACACACACACACACACACACACACACGCACAUAGUACUCCCAUUGUUGAAACCCCAAUUUUUAAAAAUCGAAAACAACAUGUGGGUAGGACUUCCAAGUUUUACAACUUUGACAUCCUAAAUUCCCAAGUUCCAUCUCAUCUUAUGAAAAGCCCAAAUUCUAAUUUCAAUUUCACCUAAAUAUCAAAACCCUAAUUUAUUCAAGUGCAGAUCUCUAUGAUUCAAAAAGUAUCAAACCCAAAACAAUCAAAUCAAAUAAAGAUCAGUAAAAUUACCAUCUGCAACACAAAUACAUGAAAUUAAUAGAAUAAUCGAAGUUUACCAUACAACUCAGAUGAGGGCGAGCAGAUGCAGAGAUCGGAAGACGCUCAGAUGAGGGUGAGGAUGACGAAGAUGAGAGAGCACGGCAAGGACGGCGUUGAGGGAAAGUAGAGAUGAGGACGAAGGGAAGACAGGACAAAGGGAAAAUGCAGAAAAUCUCUCGGUUUGCUAUGGCUUACGAAUCCGCCCAAUUUUGGGGUUGCUCGUUAAGAACGGCUAAAGAGGUCCUUAGUCCAAGCGAGUCCGGGUUAAGCUCAUUAAAGCUAAUCCGGAUGCACACCAAACGUCGGACUAUAGUCUAGUCCAGUCCAAGCCCUCUUAAUCCUGUCAAACAAACGUGCCCUCAAGGUACAGCAGCAUCAAAUACUCAGCAUUAGUCUACUCCACGAAAUUCAAUAUUAUAUGUAUGUAACACUAUCACAAUAAAGGAGUUAAAACUGAAGAAUGAAAUACAAAAAUUCACCCAUAUAUAUACAAAACCCAUCAACGAAAAAGAGGGGUUUAGAAUAAUACUCAAUCUCACGAAUCUGCUCCUCAGCUUCACAGACCCGUAGAUGCCUUCAAAAUAGAGACCCAAAUCCUAUACUCAGACAGAGAGAGAGAGAGAGAAAUAUUUAGAAAUUUUUAUACAACAACUCUCACAGAAAGACAACAACGAUUUGGGACGACGACCCUCACAAAAAGAGAACAUCGUUUGACGGCGAGAGAGCACGAAGCAAAACGAAAACGAAAGUUAAAACGAAGGAAGAUGCAGUCAAACGAAGCGGGAAGCAACAGAGCAAAUUUCCGAGAGAACACGAACCCAUCACGGAUAUUAAAAUUAUUUUUGGGUAAAUUGGGUAUGAGUGAGGGUACUGACCUUCUCCGGGCAUCUCGUGUUCGAAAUUGGAAGAGUUUAAGAUGUGAUUUUGGUGGAAAAUGGGCAGCGCUGCAGAGAGAACAAAGCAAGUCCAUGUUUCUAUGGUAUCGAAAUUGCGGAAAUCAAACGAUGUAGAUGAGGAUUUUGAAGAUUCUGAAUCUAAGAGAAGAGAAAUUUACCUUUGGGGAAGAGUGGUGGCCGCUGCUGCUGAAACUGAAAAGAUUUUGGCAAAUAAGUCGAGAAGGAAGACAGUGGGAAUCGGCAACUCAGAAUUUCAGCCAAACAUAAAGAGAAUAUGAAGAAAGAAAUAGUUUUGUAAGAUGCUGAGAAGAAAAACAGGGAACAAUAGGGUUUUACCUGAGGACUCGAGCUGGGCUCUAAGACGUAGACCUCCCUCUCCAUUCUUCUUCCUGACAUUCCACACCCUCCCCUCUUCUCUGUCUGUAACUAAUCCAGCCCAAACAAAAUGUAACGUUUACAUGUAUAUCACUAAUUGUAACGUUUAAAUAAAUACACAAUCAAAUGUUUAAAUAAAUGGUUGCAAAUGAUCCAACUGUUAAAGAGUAAUUCAUAAGAACUUACCAUGCACUUGAGCAUUUUUCAACAUUCCAUUAAGCACGGACAAAAUGUAAUCUACACGUAGAUGAAACAAGACAUGUUUAGGUGUUAAGCCAAAUGCUAUAAGUCAGAUAAGUGAAGAAAUAAGAACCUUGACAGCUCAUCAUUUCUUAUACUUUUGACUCAGCGUUGGAAAUUUGUCUACCAGGCAUAACAUCUGAAACAUUAUUUAUUCAUAUGAAUGUGAGAAUGAUUACUUUCAAUGGCAUUCCAUCUAGAAAUGUAAAGGGGUAAUUGAAUUCAUCUAUACUUCACCGUGUUCAUGACUUGCAAAUUUUCUAAACAACACAAUAAAUAACAGAGAUUAGGGAGAGUUGAAUCAAAGGAAUCAGUAGUGUAAAACUAACAACAUGCUUACAAAUUCAACUCCAAUUGUGCUGAUGUAGCUAUCCAAGUAUGAAUCAUCCGGUUCAACGAUUCCGAAGCUCAGAAAAAAAUUGCAUGAGAAAAUUGAGAUUAUAUGCAAUUGUAAGUCAAAUAACCUGAAAUAUAACAUAUAUCAAAUAUUAAGUGCAUACACCUACAAACUAAUCUUUAUAUAUACUUUAAAAUAAUACAGAUCAAUGUAAUCUAAAACAUUGGAAACAUUAUCAUACAAUUAAAGAAUCACGAUGCAUAAAAUUUUAUUUGCAUUAUUUUCAGAUAACUUUUCACCCCACAACACUGAGACAGAAAGCAUACCCAAACCAAUAGUGGCGUUCCAACCACGGCGAUUUCACAAACUUCUCAAUGGAGGAAGAAAAACACAAAAUACACUACUUGAUCACUUGUGGCUGAGCUUUUAUCGCUCAACCUGUCUUUAUCUUUGUGUAGCACUCUAACUGAAACAUUAUUCAUAUAAAAUUUCAUUACAGUAUAAAGUAUACUUAUAUAUAUAACAUAAUAACCUUCUAAAAGCAAUAUCUUUUAAAAACAUUCCAUCAAUUGAACAUUACCUCCCUAUCUAAGAAAAUUGAUGACAAUCGCAAGCUAAACUAUGAAAUACCAAAUUAAAUACAGAAUAAUCACAACCCCAAACCAAACAAAACCCCAAAUCAAUUAAAAAAAAACAAUCAGAGUUGGAAAAUCCUUUAUGCAAAAACGUGAAAAAGAACAAAUCAAAGAUGCACUUACACCACAAUUCAUGAUCAUUAUCCAAAAUUUGCAAAGCAAACAUACAAUCAAACAGAUACCUCUCUAUUUUUCAUCUCUCUCUCCCUGUUAUUUGUAUUGUGAUAAAGUUUAUGAUAAACAAUGAUUUUACCAAAAUUUAAUAAUAAAAAACAUCACAGUAGAAGUUUAACAUGAGAGAAAGAGUCAAUCUCUACCUUUGAUGUGUUGAUCCUACCAUCCCCUUGCAUGUUUGAUCUUUACAUAAAAAUAGAGUUUGGUUGGUGAGAAAAUGCAGAGAAAACGAACAAAAUUUAAUGUAAUUCAUAAUUUACCAGUAUUAAUAGAACCAAUAACUUAAUAACAGUUUUACAUCAUUAAUUAGUAGAAAACAAUACAUAAAUACAAUCCAACAAAAUAAACAUAUUGCAUUCAUUGCUGAAGCAGGGAGCCAACCUCCAUGCUGCUGUUGUGCAAAAUCCAGCAGAGGAAUCACUGCAGACUGUUUGUAGUUGGAUGGAUAAUGGGAUAGUAUCUCUUUCACCUAAAACUGAAAAAAAUGACACCUUUUAGAACUCAAAAAACAUAAAAAUAAUCUUGCAAGUGGCAAAUAAUGGAUAUAAUCAAUGCUCGUGGUUUGAUAGCUCAAUUCAAGAACUUAUAUAACAUCAUCAUCAUAUGAAUCAGUAGGAUCACUUUCUAAAAUGCAAUAAAUAACUUGGGGAAAUUUAAACCUUAUAGGACAAUCCAAUUCUAGUAACUCAACUUAGCAACGUGGUUGGAACGUUCAGCACCCCUUACACUCUAGUUAUGUAUAAAUUCAAAACUGAGCAUGUUUGAAUUAAGGGUGCUAAGAAAAUCCUAAACCUUUUAUACACAUCUUUGCUUAAAUAUCGGGGCUUGUAAUGUUUGACAUAAAUAGUUCAGCCUAAAGCACACAUUGACAACCAAAUUACACAAUCUUUCUCCUUUUUUCAUCUGUUCACAGCCACACGUCUUUCCCCAAAGUUACUGCAUUGCAUUGCCAUUGAAUAAUAUGCUACAAACUAAUUAGGUAAAUGGGUCGCUGAAAUUCACUACAAAAAUGCUCCGCAGAAUUAUUAAUUCCAACAAAAUUGAUGGAACCGAGUGGAAGUUUGUAAGACCCAUUUGCAGGAAGGAAAUGGGUGCUUUGUAGAAAUUGAAAAGAUGGAAAAUCGAUAGUUCAUGAUUUUGGUAGUCCAGAUUAGAUUAGCUUUAGACUCUACCAGUUUAUUGCAUGCCUGCCUUUUAUCCAUAAUUCAUGUCCUAAUUUAUCUGUUUAGGUUUUAGUUCUUGCCUUUGGGAAAACCCAAAAUCUCUACCUGAAACGCCUAUCUGCAACCACACUCCUUACACCCCCCGUCUCUUUCCCCAACCCCUGCUUCACCAAAUGACACACCCAGAACUCUAUCCCCACAGCCAAGGAGCAACCAAAUUCAACUCCAAUAUAAUAAAACUUAACAAAAUACCCACUUUCACUCACUCCAAUCCUCUAAGAACCCAUAAUUUUUUUCAAUAAGAAAAAGUAAAAAUUAAGCAUUAACUUAAAUCCUGAUAAAAUGAGUAAGUAAUCAGCAACACCUGGUUCAAAAUUUUACAAAUUCACCAACAGUACACUUCAACACAUCCCCAAGCAGCUCAUAAAUAGUGAAAUUUGAUUCGAUUCAAUUCAAUUCAACUCGAUUCGAUUCAAUUCAAUUAGUUCAAUUCAACAAUUAUAAUCAUUAUUAUUAUAUUGGAACUAAAUUGAUUGAUAGGAUACCUUUAAAAUCAUAAAUCUGAUAAGCAAUCUCACAAUUAACGCAGAUUAUGUUCAUAUCAAAAUCCAUAUAGAGAUACAAAUUUGGAAACAGAGUGUAAAUUCCAUCAAACACGAAGAUAGAGAGAGAGAGAUAGAGAGUACCUGCUAUUGCUUGGCAACCUGAUCUCUUAGCUUCUUGAUUGCCUCCAUUGCAGCUCAGCUGUAGGUAGUCUCGAUUUUUCAAAGUUGUGCUUCAAGCCUUAAUCUAGACUCUAGAGGCUGAGUGGGUUUAUCAAAAAUAAUAAUUUAAUAAGAAAUUAACACUGAAAAUAAAUCAAGAACCCAAAAAAAUAAAUGAAAAUUUCAUACCUCUAAGUUUCUGGGUUUUACUGUGGAAUCCAAUUGAGAACCACUAAAAAAAGGGAAAACUGACCAUAACACGUUAGACAAUGCAAGCAAAAAAGGGAUUUCAGUGGAAUUGAAAAGGCAGAAAUUAACAACCAAACCCAUUUAAUCAUACAACCAAAACCCAAUACCCAUUUAAUCAUACACCAACGAAAAAUCUAAACACAGAGUCACAAAUUAACGAACUGAAAACCCACAAAAAGAACCAAAAAAAAAAAAAGGAAACUGACCUUAAAACAAAGAACAAAACACAAAACAGAGAGAUGCAUCCCCAACAGUAGAGAAUCGAAUUAAAAAUUGAAGUUAGCUAAAAAACACUUACCCUUCAACGUUUGGAGCCUCAGAAAAAUUUAUGAAGUUCACGCAAAUUUUUUUAGGUCUCAAUGCACCUAUCAUGCAAACCAACGAAAAUGAAAAUGCAUUAACACAAAUGCCAAAACCGAUUUCUAAGAUUUUAGUAUUCUCUUUACCCUUGCAACCAAAAAAAAAAUCGCAGAAAAAUGAGCAAGAAGCUUAAGCAAAAAAAUCAUAUUUUCAACUACCAAAACCCAAUACCCAUUUAACAUGAGAUUUCAGUGUUCUCUUUACCCUUGCAACUCAAAACAAAAAAUCCCAGGAAAAUGAGCAAGAAGCAUAAGCGGAAAAAAAAAACAUAUUUUCAACCACCAUAACCUAAUACCCAUUUAAUCAUACACGAACGAAAAUAAGAGAAAAUAACAUAAAAUGAAAUAAAUAAAGGAACCCCAAAAACCUAACCCAACAGUGCAACAAAUAUGGAAAUAAUUCACAGUAAAAAGGUUGAAAUGAUGACAAUCUAUACUAACAGUAAAGAAUCCAAUAAGAAAAUGAACUUAUCUUUCAAAAUCCAGCCACUCAUCAGACACGCAAAAAGGAACAGACGAUCUAGAGUGAUUCAUGGACUGAGGGGCCUUACUCGGCUCUGUUCACCAUCCCAACCCCUCCCUCUCUGUUUCUUUCCCUAUUAUCUGGACAACAACUCUCUUUUUUUCUCUUUCUCUCGCGCGCUACUUGCUUAACUUCGGAGUUCCGACAGAACCGAAGCCAGUGAGCUCCCAAAAGCCCUCAUGCUAGCUAGGGAUGAGCAUAUACAUAUAAGGAUCACUCCCGUGAGCGAUGUGGGAUCUUACAGCCUAGCCAUCACGUGAUCGUUCACCUCCCGCACCACACGCUUACCUUGGAUCCAAGGCAGGUGCCAGCCUGUCGUACAGACUACAUUAGGUGGUUCUAACUCGUAGGUGACUUGCGAUACUUCGCACAACCUUCACGUGAUCGUAGCACUCGAGCGUAUCUAUUUACACCCAGCCUGUCGUACAGACCACAUUAGUUGGUUCUGACUCGUGUGCAUGAAUUGGUUAUGAGCUAUAGGUUCAGCCGUAUAUGUCACAUUAGGUGACUCCGACUGACAUUUCAUAUUAUAUUGAUUCACAUCACCUGGCUUCCAUAUUUAUUACUGAAAUAAUUGACAUGGCACUCACUUUGGUUUUCAUUACUCUCAAGCCUGAUUUCUAUAUAUUUAUGUAUUAUUAUUUUCUGGAAAAUUAUACGGAUUUUAUGGUGAGGGGUUAUUAUUUUGGAAAAGAGAAAUGGUUUCAAAAAGCUUUGUUUUGCCCACUCACGUUUUCUGUUUUUCGCCCCUCUAGGUUUUAGCUGCUGAAGUUCGUAUCGACGAGGAUUAUUGUCUAAUCUCAGUAUAGGUGGCUACCUCUGAGGGUAUGAUCAUUACCCACACUACUGUACGUUACUUAUACUUUGACGUCGCGUGUGAAAUGAAUCCAUUCCCGCUUACAUCGCACUCUUGUCUUUAGCUACUCUUAGGUUUAAAUUUAUUCACAUUUUCCACAUCACUACAUUUUAUGGCUUCGUCACCUUCCAGGUGUCGGCCAGCACAGCUCGAUUCGGAGUCUUAGUGGACAUACCAGGUCGGGGUGUGUCACCUACACUAUAAAAUUUAAUUUACCUAUUGUUUAAUUUUUAUAAAAUAAUGUAUCUACUAUACAAAAUAAUGUACCUACAAUAUAAUUUGCCUAAUGAUUAAUUUUUAUUAAUAUGGGUAAAUUAAUAUAUAUAUAUAUAUAUAUAUAUUUGUGUUAAUAGUAUUUAUGAUACAAGAAAGGUAUAUUUUCAUAUGGGUUUAAUUGGUGAUCAUAAUUAGGGUGAGUAAUUAUAUUCAUUGACAAGAUUAGAGCUUUGUGACAUAAGUUGUAAAUAUGUUGGAAUAAUUGGCUACAUAUUUGUCUACAUGGUAGUCUAUUCGAAAUUUAGGUGUUAUUUGAAUAUUUAAUAUUAGAUAGGAUUUUGUUUGGAAAAUAAAAGUUUCAAAAGCCUAUCUCUAAAAAACCCUAGAAAUUAUUAUAUUACUUUAGUCUAAAGUAGGAGGGAAAUUGGCACUAUUCAUGUGAAUAGUGUUUUGGACCACAUUUCAGUUUAUUUACAAUAUUGCCACUCGAAUGCUUUUACCCACUCUCUUUAUUUACAAAAAAUAGCCCUCAGGCUUCAGGCCCGAUUUGUAGCCUUUGGGCUGCAUCUCAGGUUUGACUCGGGGAGAAAGAGGGGAUGGGGACAUAAGGGCUGACAAAUUGGAGAGAGGAGACAGCUGGGUGUGGCUGUGGCUGUGGCGAAAGGAGAGGAGGGGCACGGAGGGACUGACAGAUUGGAGAGAGAUGCGAGCUACGGGUGAUCUUGAUGCCGCGUGUUGAUAAUCGUGGCAAGGUAGGGGUGCGAUGGUCGCUUUAGUCUGUAGGGUUUCGAACGGAUUGGGUGGGUUAGGGAGACUUUCAUUUUCCUUUCUUUUCUUUCUGUGAGCUGCAGAGGGACUCGGUGAGACCAUGCCGUCAGGAGAGAGAGCAGGAGGGAGAGAGAGGGAUUUGGUGACAGCCUCAGCUGAUUGAAAGGGUGAUGAGUCGUUUUCAAAUCUUUUGUGCUUUAGGAUUAGGAUUACAAACUCUAUUCAUAUCAUGCAGCUUCAGAUUCGAAAUUGUGAUUUUGGUCAGCAAACCCAGCUCAAGUCCUCUACAAAUCAAACCUCACAAAGUAAAGCACUCCGAUUCCCAUUCAUAUCAUGCUUCUGAUGGAUCUGGUUGUGGUCCCUGUGUAUUUGCGCAUCCAUAUAACUCUGAUUUGUCCAACAUGCUCAUGGAUUUUUCUGUAUGAUUUUGCAGGGCAAAUUACUAUAUUGCCUAUUUUCCUUUCAAAUCCAACGGGUCGAUGCAGGCUAGAGCUGGUAUAGAUUACAAAUAUUAGUUUUGCAUAGCACUGUAAUUUUGAUUGGUGAGAUCGGCCUAAUUUAAAAAAGAAAAAAAAAGAACAGCCAUCUUUCAUCUUUCAAUUCAAUAGUAAAGGCCCUCAUUCAAAUAUGAGUUUUGCAUAGCACUAUAAACAUUAUAUGUAGUUACAGAAUUGCUGUUUUGAUUGGUAGCUCUAUUGAUUUUUGUUAAGUUGAUUUGAAUUUAUACUGAAUUUACUUAAUUUUUAGUACAAUUAUUUGCUUUCUGGUUUUUAAUUUAAAGACUAGGAGUUUGAAUGGUGUAGUGGAGGUUGAAGUUGUUUCCCACAUUUUUGUUAUGAAUUCUCAAUGUUUGAUGAAUUCGGGAAAUCAAUUUUGUUAUCUCUUAUGCAGUUAUGAUCGUAUGAGUUGGAAUUUAGAUUUUCAAACACAUGUAAACUGAAAAAAUAAAAUAGAUUUCGGAAUUCGAAGUUAGCCGACCGCACAUGAUGGGAAAAGGCUUAAGAAGAAGAAGAAGUUAGCUCUAAACUAUAGAAGCAUGGAAGUUUGUGUGGACCUUAGAUUGUUUUGAAAAAUAAUUGAUUGAUUCAAGAAAGCAAAGACCUUGGAACCUUAACUGUCUCAUUGUAAUCCUUCACCAAGUUCUGGUAAAUUAUGUUCUAUUUAUUCCGUCAUCUGAAACUGAAUUGCAUUUGGGUGUUUGUCUUUGAUGCUAUUUUUUGGAUGUAGGUAACUAGAUUCUUAUUCUCUGGGAAUUGUAUUCGUUUGUUCAAUCUCAAUAUUUUACCAAUAUUCUCACGAUGUCCUUUGUUUUUAAUCUAUAAUUUAUUUUGUCCAAUUCAUGAAAUUUCCUUCCUUUUUUUUGACGAUUUAAAUAAAUAGGAGCAAUUUAAUUAUCCGGUUUGGAGGGUUUUGAUCUAAUUGCAGUAUUUAUCUGUUAUCUGUAGGUUUGUGAAGGUCUGUGAAUAACAGUUGAAGAAAAAGUUGCAGUUUCGGAAAUGACUGUCAGCAGUCAAGAUGUGAAAAAGAAGGUUCCUUUUUCUUAUUUUUGUUUCCAAGUUCUUCUUUUCUAUUUUGUGGAUAAAAAAAAGAUCUUUCGGCAAACAGAAUGGUGUUUUUUUUUAUCAGAUUUUGUUAAUUAAUUGGAUUUUGUGUUUACCCUUUCGUUUCAGUCUUUUAUUCAUAAAAUCUUCACCACAAAGGAGAAAGAAGGAAGCAGCUCUUCGGAUUGCUCAGGUGAGUCUCUAAUGGCUGACUGCAACUGAAUAUCCUUCUUCCUUUCUUCUUUAUUUGAAACAGUGAUAACGCAGUCAACUAUGAGUAGAUGUAUAGCGGCCUGCUUCAGUGCUCACUUGGUAAAGUUUUUUUGUCACAUAAAGGUGCUGGAGUUGGGGACUUUUUGGAUCUUAAAUCAUUGGUUGCCUAACAUUCUCUAUAUCGAAAGGCAUCAUUUUUGUUAGAACAUUUUAUAUAUUUUAGACAAUGAAUUUGAGUGCUGUGGACUAUGUGUCAGUGAACAGGGAGUUACUAAUUUUGUUAUAUGAGAUUUGGUUAAAUGUCUAAUACACAUAGUUGCUGAGGUUUGUUUACAUUGGUGGUAAAUUCUUGCUUUCUUCUCAAUUUUGUUUUAUUGUAAUUCAUCUUGGUUUAUGGAUCUUGCAUUGCUUACGUGAAAUGGUUAUAUUUCAAUGUUUGUGAGAUGUCGAAUUGUGUGUUUGUGGCUUAGUGAGAGUUAGAUUUAGAUUGUGUAGAAAAUGUGGGCUUCGGAGUGUAACCCAAUUAGCAAUUUGAAGUGAUUUGAGGAGAAGUAUUCUGAGCUGCAGUAGGACUCGAUGAGACCAUGCCGUCAGGAGAGAGAGCGAGCGAGCAGAGAGAGAAGAGGGAGGGAGGGAGAGAGAUAGGGAUUUGGUGAGAGGAAGAGAAAGGAGGGCUGUGACUUUUGACUCGGGGAGAGAUGACUGUGCCUCUUGCUUCGGUAAGAGCAUCGUUGGGGGAGGAGAGGGACUGACAGAUUGGAGAGAGAUGGGAGCUAGGGGUUUCGACUCAGUGAGAUUGUGAGGGAGAGGGGGUUGGCAGAGACAGAUGAGAGGGAGUUGGGCGUGGGAAUUGCAGAGAGAGAAAGAGAACUCAGAAGAUAUUUGUUUUGUUGAGAGCUGACAAGAAAAGGGGAGAAACAAUGACAAAGUGACAGAAUCUGAGAAUCUGAAGUAUGAUUAAUGGGGUUUUUGUUAGGAAUGUCGGUACUACAUGAUAGAGAAUGCUCAAGGUAAAGUAGAAAAUGGACACCAAGAAUUUAUGUGGUUCGGCAAUUUAUGCCUACGUCCACGAAACAAGGAUCAAUCUUCACUAUAUGAAAAAGAUGAAUACAACAAGAGUAGUCUUACCAAGCCAAAGACAAGACUUGAUGGAUACAAGAAAGUAUAACACACACUUUCUAUCACUCUAAACUUCACUCACACAAUAUGUAGUGGAACACUCACUCUCACUCUCACUCUUGGAAUGGAACUAAACUUCACUCACACAAUGUGUAGUGGAACACUCUCACUCUCACUCUUGGAGUGGAACUCUAGCUUUGGACUUGAUCCUUUGCUACUCACUACUCUCUUGAUUGGUUGGUUGAUCCAAAUGGUGUGGAUGCCUUCUCCUUUUAUAGGCAUGAAUGGAACCUUGAAGAAGCAUGGAAACAUCAUGCUAGAGAUAUCUAGAUAAUUCCACUACCUUCCUAAGCUAGAAUUAUCUACACUAAUCUUGUAUGUUGGUGGAAUCUUCACCAUUCUUCUAGACUCUUCCACCAACUUGAACUUUGCUAGAAUUCUCUAGCAUGUGCAUGGAUCUUUCCAUUUGCAACCAAGGAAGCUAGUACUCUCUAGCUUCUUCCAUCAACUUGAUAACAUGCUAGAAUUGUCUAGCAUGCUCCGGCCACCUCACUUGCUUACUAGAAUAAUCUAGAACAUUCAUCAUGGGCUGGACCAUAUACCAACAGUUUUAGCUUCUGGCACUUUCUUCCCUGCUUUCUAAACCCAUUUUUCUCAGCACCCCUUCAAGCUCUGGAAGUGUUUGCACAAAUUGGAGCUCAAAAGCGUCAGAUUUUAUGGAACAAAUGGUCUCAGAGAAGCAGAUUACACUGCGCAGUAGCAGCACAGGACCCGGUGGGCCUGGGUUUGGUAUUGUUCAUACCUCUGUUUCUUCAAUUUUUUUAAUUUCUUUUAUAUGCAAUUUCUGUGCUUGCUGUUGAAAUGAAUAUGGUGGUGGAAACUGUUGUUUUAUAUGAAUUGGGUUUUUCACUAUAUUAAUAAAGAUCAAAUCUUUGUGGUUCUUUGUUGUUUAUCUCAACCUUGCUUCGCCUGCAGCCGCUUGAAGAUGACGUGGUCCUGAUAGUCGGUCACUUCCGCGACAGUUCCGAACAAAGGAUUCGGUUCCCAAGCUCCAACGAUUGUGUCUGUGGCAAAGAGAAUUCAGGAAGAGUGGAAGAUCCAAGAAGGAUUUGCCAGGCGAGUUCUUUUGUUUUUUAUUUUGAAUUUCCUUUUAAAUAACUGUUUUGAAUUAAUGGUAGUGAAGUUUUCCCAUACUUAGCCUAUUCAUUUUUAUCAAAUAUUUUGCAUUAUCAAAUAUUUGCACCGACUAUUUCAUGAUGCUGACUACACAACAACAACAACAACAAAGCCUUUUCCCACUAAGUGGGGUCGGCUAUAUGAAUCCUAGAACGCCAUUGUGCUCGGUUUUGUGUCAUGUCCUCUGUUAGAUCCAAAAUCAAGUCUUUUCUUAGGGUCUCUUCCAAAGUUUUCCUAGGUCUACCUCUACCCCUUCGGCCCUGAACCUCUGUCCCGUAGUCACAUUUUCGAACCGGAGCGUCAGUAGGCCUUCUUUGCACAUGUCCAAACCUCGGAUAUCCUCAUUCCCAAUCUUAUCCUUUCUCGUGUGCCCAUACAUCCCACGAAGCAUCCUCAUCUCCGCUACACUCAUUUUGUGUACGUGUUGAUGCUUCACCGCCCAACAUUCUGUGCCAUACAACAUCGCUGGCCUUAUUGCCGUCCUAUAAAAUUUUCCCUUGAGCUUCAGUGGCAUUUCAUGAUGCUGACUGAUGUAAUUAAUUUGGUUUUGUACUGAAAGUUGGAGUUGAGAAUAUAUGGAAUAUAGUUGUUGGAUUGGUGUUUGUACUAUAGAAACUUAGGUGUGCUUACCCCCUUUUCAUGGACAUCCAUGGUUACAAUAUUUGUUAGAGCUUAUGAGACGCUGUUCAAGUCGGACCACUGGUGAAUGCCACAACUUUUGUGCUUAAAUGGAUUCAUCAAAUCAAUUUUGUCGUUAAUUUUUGUUUUGAGUCCAUUUUCCCUGCUGCUAUUCUAUUAGUAUUUUAAGCUCAGUCGUUUAGGCAUGACACAUUUUCAGUGGGAAGUCAUAAGCAUAAUUCAAAUUUUUUUUAAAUUAGACUCAAGAUUUUUAUGUGCAUUAUUCUUCCGUUUUACGAAUUUAAUUGGCUGCCUUAAUGAUGUUGUUGAUGAAUCUUCACAAAAGUCCAUUUCUCUUUUAAUCAUUGACUUUUUUUUUUUUUCUUCGUUGGCAGUCGAGGCAAAAGGUUCUUGCGAUUUCAAUCAAAUGCAAACUGUGCAAGUAUAUAUGUUGUAUGCACAUAUGCAUAUAAAUCAAUAUAAUAUAUAUACAUGAUUUCAUGUGUUAAAGAUUGUACUUGUUCUUAAAUAAAGGAUCUGCUGACAAAUGUGUUUAACAAUAUGAUCUUACAACUCAUCUUUAAACUUUGUAUAACUGAAAUAUUAUUCAUCAACUGUAACUUCCCCUGUUGCUAUAUGCUAAUGACAGGCUAUGAAGAUUGUACUUAUUCUGUUCGUAGAUGCAAGGCUAGAAAUUAAGUUUGUAUGGGGUUAAAUCAAUUGAUGAAAAUUGUAAGAUUUGGCGGUUUGGUAAAUUGAUUAUAGUAAUGUUGUUUGUGGUUUGGGUUCUCCUUUUGUUUUAGAUAGAUGGUGCUUGAUUGUGGUUUAAGUUUUUUUUUUAUUAUUAUUCCCUGCACAUUGCAAAAUUCUGGUACUAUUUGAGGAUUUUGGUGUUGAAAGUCUAGGGUUUAGUGGAAUGAAAAGAAGGGAUGUCUGCGUUUCGGAAAUGUGUUUUUAAGGAACCUUUAACUCCUAACUGCCAUUUGGCAUUCAAUAUAUACUCUAAUGCUUGCUGGGGUUUACCCCUUUGAGCAUUUUAUUACGUUUCUUCUUGCUCUCUGAUUGAAAAUUUUAAAUGCUAUAGGUGAAUGCAAACGCUGCAAAAUGGACGAAAGCCAGCAUUUCGACUAGCUGCUGCAAUACACAGGUGUGUUGAAAACUUUCCCAAAUCCUCUGUGCUUACACAAUUAUACAUGUGUGUAUGUACAGCUUUAUACAUGCAUCUGUGGAAAUACAUAUGUUAGAGCCUGGUUUUUGUUUUAGAUUUAUAUGCUGGUUGUUAGGUUCUAGCUAUGUGAAGUUUAUGUCUUUAAUUUUAAUUUUUUAUGAAAGCAGCUCAUGUUUGCUUACCCGGCGGUGGUUAUUCUGAUUUAGUGGUUAAAAAUGGAAAUUUCACUCGCAGUAAGGGAUUAAUUGAGGUUCAUGCAUACAUCCGUGGUGUAAAUUUGAGAGAUGGAAUAAUAUAUGUGUGUAAAGUCCCUUCUUUUGGUUUUUUAUUGCACUGUUUAGGUGGUGAAUUGCACGGAAAGUGGGGGAAGAGAGGGGUACAAUUUAUUUAAUUUGAGCAAAACAAAGGCAUUUAAGCUUAAGUUGGUUAGUGAUGAUUAGAGUCAAUAAGUCGCCAUCUGUCUUUAACUGAAAUCUGAAUUCAUUGAAUGAUGAAUGAGGUUGUAGUGUGAGAGAAAUUGAGAAAGUAAAGAAAAGAUGGAAGAUGAAGCUACAAAUACAUGACAAACAAUAAUGAUAGAUCAAUUCAUCUAUGUUGGUUUAUUAAACUUGGUCAAGCAAGCCUUUUGUUUUAAUUGGGAUAUAGUUUGGUACUUUCAUACUAAUUUCCAUAGUUUAUAACAGUUAACCAACCAAAGGUGCUUUCUUUUCAUUAUUUUCCAAUAUAUUUUAGCCAGUUGACAAUCUUAAAAGAUUUACUUAGACGCACAACAAAUCUGUGUAUUAUACACAUACCUGAGAUAUAAUGCUAUAUAUCUUUUUAUAGUUGUCUCAUAUUAUAUAAAAAAAAUUUAAGUGCAUGAAUUUGAAACUUUUUAUUAUUUCUAGAAAGAGAGACAAUGCAAUUGUGUUUUAUUGUUAGAGAAAAAGAUGUGUCAGCUUGGGUUUGACUGAUUAAUGGGAUUUCACUCGAUUAGACCAAAUUGAUUUGAUGUUUUUCUAUUUGAAGUUGAGGAGUCAGAUUGGUGGGAAGCAAUUCAGAGGCACGUCAUCUUCUAACUGGGUCAUUGUCUUCUUUCUUCACUUAUGAGUUUUUCGGGUCGAAGGAGUCAUCUGCUUCUUCUGGGAUUUUUGGGUCCCUAUUUGCGCCUUCUUCCAGCAUCGUUUAUUGGUAAGUUGUAAAACCUUUGUAGACCUCAUGUUCAUUUCAGAUUUUUGUAUCAAUCUUGGUAUUAUAAUGGAAUUGCAAAUCAAGUAUAUCUUAGAUUCUUACUUGCAUACUCACUUUUCCACAACUAUUAUAUUGUCUCUUGAUUGGAUGAAUUUUCAUAAUUUCCUGGAUCUACGGUUACAAUGCUUUUUACAAUUUCCUAGAUCUAUCCUUUUUGUCUGUGCAUGACUAUGUUGAUUUUUUUUAAGGUUAAAUGUGUCUUAUUCAAGUCCCGCAGCAACGCGCGGACAUUUUUUCUGGUAUUAGCUAAUGCAGAUUGGAUGAAACUUUGGAAGUUGACUAUAUAUUAGUAUGCGUUCAAAUUCUGGAUAUCAAAAUAUAAUUGUCUCCAGUAAUACUAAAUUUCGUUAUCGUUAUGGUGUAUAGAUCAAGUGGAUUAAUUAGCUACGUGGGGUGCUUCAGAGUGUAAGGCAUGUGGAUAACUUUUCAGUGGUCGAAUAGUGUUCUUCAAAAUGUUUUGAUUAAUUUUCUUGAUUUUCUUGAAGUUCAGUUGCUAACUAGUAUUUCUUUUUUUAAGGGAUGAUAGUGUUCUCAUUCCCUUAAUCUUAUUAAAAUAAAAACAGAAAUACAAACAAGGGUGUGGUUGCAAAUUUCUGCCUUCUUCUUGGAUGAAAAUGCAUCUGCAAAACAAUUAACACCUUAGGUUAAGGCCAAGAGGGUCACGCGCCCAUGAUGAAUGGGGGGCCUUUGGUCGAAGAACUUCCGAUGCUAAAGUUAGAAUUUGAGGAAGAAAGUAUAUGGAGAAAUUUAGAGAAUUUCAUAAGAGAAUUAGAUUUAGGUUGUUUGAGAAAAUGAGGGGCUAUAUAUAGGGGUGUGGCCGGCCCUAUUAGGAAAUUUGGGACCGGACACAUAUGGUUGAUGUGUGGGAUUGAUUGCAAGAUAUUAUGUGAAAUAAUAUAUUGCAAUUAAUUUGGUAAUUAAUCAAUUAAUCCCAAUUUGAAAAGAAUAAUUGGAAGUUACCUUGUGGGUGAGGAUUUGAUGAGGAGUGAUGAGAGUUUUAAAAGAAUACCAUUUUGAUCAACUUUGACCUCGAAUGAGUUGUGAUUGUCUGUUACAUGUGUGGGAAUCUUGAUGUGCUUUAAGGGUAAUUUUGUCUUUUUAACUCAAAAGUCCAUGUGUCGUCUUCAUAUUUUUCUUGAUUAUUUUUUGUUCCACAAAGGGCAAUACAAAGCCAAACCUUCUUGAGGAAAAAAAAGGUAAAACCAAAAAUCAACCCCACAUACAAAGAAAACAUAUAAUGAAAAUCAUUUGAAACGAUGGUUGGUAGAAGCAGAAAGAUCACGAAUAUAAGCAGAAAUUUCACAUGAAAGAACGUUCACCAUCAAUAUUAUGCAUCAUAAUUUGCAUGAAAGUUACCUAAGGCAUCAGCCACACAUGCAAUUGCUAGCUAGUACAGUAGUAGCUAUAUUACUCAAACUUUUAUUUUAUGUUUUUAUUAAUUAUUAGGUGUACCAACAGUUAUAUGAAUUUGGAACAUUUGUCAACAUUAAGACAGAGUAUUUGGAGCUAAUGAAGAAUUUGGUGCAAAACCAAGUGCAGUAGUGUUCUAGGAUUUAUACAGUUAAUAAGACUUUGUCGUUUGUUUGUUGUAAGAAAAAGAGUUUUAUUAAAUCAAGUGCUUGUUUAAUAGCAAAAAUAUUAGAGACUACUGAAAAAAAACAAAAAGAGUAUAUACACUUGGCAGUCAUAUUCUUGUCGAGUUAAUGUGCGAUAUUAAUUUAUAAGUACAACAUCGGUUGUAAACUAAUUUCAUCAUAAUGGAAAACCUAACCUAUUCAGUUCACUCUCUCUUCAGAUCCGACUUUUCUUAUAAAUAAUAAAUAAAAAGGAAAACUGAUGAAAAUGACUUCAAAAUUUUGAGGUUUAACGAUAAGGACAAAAUAAAGGGUAAAAUGAACAGUACAAUGAUUGAUUUUUUAAUGUAAAAUUGUGGUUUUUCGUUAAAAUGAACAGUACCGGGAGUUUUCCGCUAAAAAGAAAAGAAGAAGAAAGGUACGAUCUCAUGAAAUUGGUACAGGGUAGGCAUGCAUGGACUUGUAAUACAAGUCAAGAAAAAUAUUAAAGGGGAUCCUAUCUUCUAUAAGUAGCAUGGUUAUCGAUAAGUAGUUCUACCUUCGCUGUUUCAUUGGGUUUCCAUCCCAAAAACUUAAAACUUCUAUAUUUCACACAAUAUUCUCUCCAAAAUGCCGCCGGUAAGCCUUUUCAUAUAUAUAUAUAUAUGUUCUACUACUCUUGCAUCUUGUUGCAGUUGUAUACAUUUUUUCUUUUAAUCCAACUGAAACUAAAGGCGAGAAGGUUUUCUUAAAUUAGCUGACAUUAAUUAAAUGUAUAAAUUGAUCAUAUUGUUUAUACAUCUUUUGUACAAAUUGAUGGUGCAGCAGAUGAAGAUCGUUGUGAAGGUGCCAAUGCACUGUGACAAAUGCAGAAGAAAGGCCAUGAAGAUUGCAGCUCGUGCACAGGGUAUGUGCCUUUUGAUAUUGUCAUGAUUCAAAUUUUCUUUCAACGAUUUCAUUGUUAAUUAUAGUUGGCAUGGUUAUUAAAGAGUAUCAUAAUUAAUGAAAGCAGGUGCUAGUAAAGUGUCGAUAGAAGGAGCAAACAAAGAUCUUGUGGAGGUGAUCGGGGAUGAUGUAGACUCGGUUUGCUUGACAAGGUCAUUGAGGAAAAAGUUCGGCUGUUCCUGCGACCUAGUCAAAGUUGAAGAAGUGAAGCCGGCAGUUAAAACUGUGGAAAAGCCAACUCCAGCUCCUUCAGCUCCUUCAGCUCCUUCAGCAAGCUGUGCUCAAAACUGUUGCACUCCCCAGUUUCGUCCAAUGUACUGUGAACUGGUUUGUGAAUAUCCAGAACCAACCACUUGCUCCAUAAUGUAAUUGCGUAAGACAUGAAUUAGUUGAACUUGAUUAUGAUCAUUUUCAUUUUCUCUUUUCCCUUGUAGAUGCAUGGAUCUAAAGUUCAUAAGAAAUAUUUUUAUAUCAAUUGCUUCUCUCUUUGAAAUUUUGUUUGUGUUUCUGCUUGUGCCUUUUUCAUGUGUUUCCUAACCCAUAUGGAAUUGCUCAGGUGCUACGAAACACUUCUGAUCAUAAGUGCUUUUAUCAGAAACACUUUUAUCACAAACAUAACAAGUUUGCAAUCCAAAGAGACCAUCAUUUAUAUGAGUUGCCUUUAAUUAUGUACUUGUACUGAUCCAUACUAAUUUUCGACCAAGAAAUGGGUGAAAGUAGGAUUAUAUAGCAGCAUGUGUGGAUGCAUGGUUAAUCAGGGUGUCAACACACUUAAACUAUCUCUAUUUCUUGAUUUCUCUGCAAAAUGGGUCCUGUCCACCUAAGCUUUCUCCGCGUGUGGCUGGCUGUUAACCACAAGGUCGAAGUUUCAACCAAUCUUCUAGGGGUGCGUUUCUUUUAUUUUUCCAUAAAAAAUGAGUUAUUCCAUUGAUGAAGCAUCAAAAAUACAAUCUAGUCUGUUGUGGGUGUUGUCUAACUUUACGAGUGAUAUGGACUCGCUUGUUGCGGUGACUUUUGUGGGCUUGAGUAUAGAUCAGUGGUGGCUGAGCAGGCCAUCCACUUUAUUUAAUGAAUACGCAAGAUUCUUUUUAAAUUAAGAAAUUGAUCAUUGGAGAUGAUGCACCCAUAUUAUUGUUUUGUUUCAUCAUCAAACUAGGAAAAGAAAAAGGAUAGGGAAGAUCACAGAAUUGAACUUUUUACUUGCCACAUCAAAUAGUGAAUCAUUGUAGUCUAAAACUGUCUAAGUGGUCUAGUGGUUGGAGACGAAUUUUAGACACAUAUUCUACACGGCAUAUGUCCUGGGUUCGAUUCUUGGAGCUGGGUGAAUCACAAGAUGGUGGCCAGGGGAGACUAAAAUGCUUAUAUAAGUCUUCUUGGCCCCCGAAAGAGUAGAAUAUUGUGACAAAGCCACCGGCUAGUCAUCUUUUUAAAAAAUGAAAUAAAACUAUCGUUUCUCUAACAUUUUUCUAUUAUAAAAUAAUAAACUUUUUUUUUUGAACCGGGUAAAAGUUUAAACUUAAUUUCAAAUUCGACUUUCAAUUUGCGUAACAUUGUUCUCCCUCUACGUACUUUGAAGGGAAUUUAUCGAAAGAUGACCAAAUUAAUCUACACCAUGUACUACUCUUGUAGCAAUAGUUCAAUCAUGGCCAUGUACUACUCCCCGGCAAUUGUUCAAUCAUGCCCCCCCCCCCCCGGCGCGGAAAUAGUUCAAUCAUGGCCAUGCACUACUCUUGUGGUCUUCAAUCAUGGCCAUGCACUAGUCUUGUGGUCUCCCCCCCUCCCUAUGACCCCAACUCAAUAACAAAAUAGGGUGUAAUUUCACCACAAGAGUAGAAAUUAUCCAGGGGAUGAUUUCGUUUUGCUUUGAUUUUGGGACUGAAGGUUUCAUUGCGAAAAAACCAUUGGAGGCAACUUAAUUUUUAUGUACAUUACACAUACGAAAACUUUUUACUUGCCACAUCAAAUAGUAAAUCAUUGUAGUCUAAAACUGUCUAGGUGGUUCAGUGGUUGGAGACGAAUUCUAGACACGUAUUCUACACGGCAUAUGUCCUGGGUUCGAUUCCUGGAGCUAGAUGAAUCACAAGAUGGUGGCCAGGGGAGACUAAAAUGCUUAUGUAAGUCUUCUCAGCCCCUGAAAGAGUAGAAUGUUGUGGCAAAGCCACCGGCUGGUCAUCUUUUAAAAAAAUGAAAUAAAACUAUCAUUUAUCUAACAUUUUUCUAUUAUAAAAUAAUUAACUUUUUUUUGAACCGGGUAAAAGCUUAAACUUAAUUUCAAAUUCGACUUUCAAUUUGCGUGACAUUGUUCUCCCUCUACGUACUUUGAAAGGAAUUCAUCGAAAGAUGGCCAAAUUAAUCUACACCAUGUACUAGUUCAAUUAUAGCCAUGUACUACUCUUGUGGCAAUAGUUCAAUCAUGGCCAUGUGCUACUCUUGUGGCCCCCCUCGGCCAAUAGUUCAAUCAUGUCCCCCCCCUCCCAGGCAAUUGAGGGUACAGGCGUACAGCUAGCACAAUGGUGUCCCACCUCCCUCCCUUAUAUUUCCCACCCUCCAUUUUUUUUAUGUAAUUAUUUUAAAUUGUUGAUUAAAUACUUUCUUUUUUUUGUCAAAUACUUUGUUUUCAAAGAUUAAUUGAUUUCUAAACAUAUAUUUGGCACCUUUAUUUUUCUUUAAAUGCACUACAAAUUCAUAUCAUCUUUGAAAAAUUUUCCUAAAGUACUACAGAUUUGUAUCAUUUGAACUUGUAUCUUAUACCAUCAAAUUCAUCAAAGUACUAACGAUAUAAUUUGUGUAUUCUUCUACUUCUAUUUUUGCAUUUUAUCAUUCUUUUAUUAUUCAUACAAUUAUAUUUUUUUUAGGUGUAAAUAGACAUUUAUUUACAAGAUAUAUAAUAAAUUUACAUAAAUCCGCUUGGGCCCCGCCUAGCCGCCUAGGCACUAGACCCCUACCCGCCGCCCGACUAGUGUCUAACGAUUUUUAGAACCUUGUUCUUAUCAAAAUGAUUUUUGAAAUUAAAAAUCCAUCAAUUUGAUCCCUAAAAAUGGACCGCAAAUCAAUUCAAUCAUUUUGUUACAUUUUCAUUAAAUUCUCUGUUAAUAUGCUUAUGUGGCAAAUGAGUGAGUCACAUGGAUACAAUCAUAUGGUGCCACGUGGAUUAAUCAUAAAACCAAUUUUUGUACCUUAUAAGGUGGGGAUCCUACUUUUAACUCUAAAGUUAAUAUGCGCAAGUCAUGAGCACCCUGCUUUUUAAUGUUAUAUAGAAUUGUCUGUAACUAUUGAGCCCAAAGCUAAACAUGACUUUGCAUUUGACUCCAAAGUACUGAACAACUCAUAUAAGCACUAAGUCUCGAAUAUCCCUAAUCAUGAGAUGUAUAAUAUUUGUCACAAUAAAUUGAGUGAGACCUAUUUAAGAUUAAUAUUUUGUUAGUGAAUGCAAAGCCUGUUAUAAAUCUUAAUUAAGUGAUCUCUCUUUUUUUUCGGUAGAUUAAUAUAAAAUAUCGUUUGUAAUACUUUGUGUAAUAAUCAAUAAAAAAAAUGGCGUAAUUUAAAGGCUUGCACAUAUAUAUGAUGGACUUGGAUUGUCUGCCUUCCCCCAUCUCAUCCCCUCCUAUUUUUAUGGUUACGGUUAAGCCACGUCAACAUUUUAUAUUGAUUUUUUUAUAUAGAAUUAAUAAGACAAAAAGCAAUAGAAAUAUAAAAUGUUGACGUGGCUUAACCGUGACCACAUAAAUAGGAGGGUAUGGGAUGGGGAGGGCAGACAAUCCAUGUCCCUUUUUAUUGACCUCUAAAGUACUCAAGUACAAGAAACAAAAAUACCCAACAAAAAUAUAGAGUUUCCGUAGGGAAAACAAUCUAGCCUUCUGUACAAUGGUGCAGCAAAAGAUAGUUAUGAAGGUGCACUUGAGCUCUGAAAAACUCAGAACCAAGGCCUUGAAGAUUGCUGCAGUCGCUAAAGGUAUGCAAAAUAUAUGCACCGAUCUUUAAACUUAUGGCCAUCCUCAUCCACCAUCUAAAGGGAUCUUUUAGUCCAUAAAAUAUCUAAAAGCCAUCUCCAGCAAGCAGGUUAUAAGUAGGUGCACUUGAGCUCUGAAAAAACAUGUGUUGUUCUUGUUUCAGCAGCUAAUCUUUCAAGCACUAAUGUAUGGAUUAAUGUAUAAUAUUUGAGAUCCUAUUUGUUUUUUAUUGACUGAUGCUUCAACAUCAUCCACCUAAUUCAUAUCACACAUCCAUAAAUACCUGAGAACGCUUAUUCCUACCACCAUUACGUUGUCACUUUCGUAUGUUUUUUCAUUGAGAAGAAAAUGAAAGAGCAUCACGAAAAACACUAACAAUUUCAACUCUAAAACGUCACCUUAUUCCUAUAACCCACCUCAAUCAACAACAAAGGAAGAAAAAUAAUUGAUCCCUUCAAAGAUGCUUUCGUGAAAGCUAAAAGAUGUCCUACCCAUCCAAAUGAAAACGGGAUGUUAUUUUCAGUCCCAUGUGAUAUCGGCACAGUGGAGGGCAAAAAGAAGAAAUAAAUGUUAGAAAGACAGCUACAUCACAACCCAAAGAUUAAUUAAAGAAAAAAUAUCCAAAAUGUAUGUCAGAUAUUUUGAAAUUAUAAAUACAAAUCCAAAAACAAAAAAAUAACAAACAAGAAAAAGUCUUGAACAAUUGGCUAUAUGGGAUAAAUUUAAUAUGUUACUAUAAUUCUCAUCCUCUUAUGAAUAUCAUCAGCAAACUCAUAUUUUUCACUCUUACGUAGAAUACCAUAAACCUCCUUUAGCACGCCCUCAGGGUCCUCUAUCUUUAUGGGUCUCUUAGAAUCAGAGUCUUCCAGCACAGCAAAGACCUAGGAAAGAAAUUAUAAUUUGAACACUAUCAAGUUAAGCACGUUUGCAAUCAUACAGGUCAGAUUUCUUUUUUAAAAUAAUCAUUUCAAAAUGCCUUUCUUCAAGGAGAGACAAUUACAAAGAGAGAAAGAAUAAUACCUGUUUUUUAUUAAGACGGUAGCAAAAUUCGUUAUAGAGUCGUCCUCCAAGCUUUUCAUCUUUUAUAUCAACAAACACUAAAACUGGGCAGCUUGGUACAUCAACAGAAGGUUUACCAUCCAAAUCAUGUUUGAGCAAUUCAUCAUGUAUAUACAUCUCCUUCAAGAGAGGGACCUACAAUUUGAUCCGCAGUAUUCGUAUUGCAUGUAAAACUAAUUUUGGGGAACCAAAUCUUGGCAAAUAUAAGAAUCACCCUAUUUAGUUCACUUCUUCAUAAGGGGUAAUCUUAUAUAAAAGAACUUGAAACAAAUUCAAGGUACAGCAGCAUCAAAUACUCAGCAUUAGUCUACUCCACGAAAUUCAAUAUUAUAUGUAUAUAUACAAAACCCAUCAACGAAAAAGAGGGGUUUAGAAGAAUACUCAAUCUCACGAAUCUGCUCCUCAGCUUCACAGACGCGUAGAUGCCUUCAAAAUAGAGACCCAAAUCCUAGACUCAGAGAGAGAGAGAGAGAGAGAGAGAAAUAUUUAGAAAUUUUUAGACAACAACUCUCACAGAAAGACAACAAUGUUUUGGGACGACGACCCUCACAAAAAGAGAACAUCGUUUGACGGCGAGAGAGCACAAAGCAAAACGAAAACGAAAGUUAAAACAAAGGAAGAUGCAGUCAAACGAAGCGGGAAGCAACAGAGCAAAUUUCUGAGAGAACACGAACCCAUCACUGAUAUUAAAAUUAUUUUUGGGUAAAUUGGGUACGAGUGAGGGUACUGACCUUCUCCGGGCAUCUCGUGUUUGAAAUUGGAAGAGUUUAAGAUGCGAUUUUGGUGGAAAAUGGGCAGCGCUCACUAGAAGAAAAAAAGCUCAUCCAUCACGGUGAAUGCUCGUAAUAAAUUGUAAUCCACCACGGGUACUGUGCCCGUUAGUAAUCUGGAUGUGAUAAAAAGUCUUAGUUUCUACCACAGGUUAUGCCCGUUGUCAAACAUAAUGUAACCACGGAUUGUGCCCGUGAUAGAUUGGAAUUUAACAUCACGUGUUACGACCGUUGUGAAUUAUUUAUUGACCACGGUUAAUGACCGUUAUAAAAAAAUUUCCACAAAUAAAAAAAAUAUCUAUUUAAUAAAUAUAUAUUUAAAUAUUUAUAUACUAAAUAACCAACAAAAUUUCAUAUUUAUUACAAUAUAAUAAAUUACAGAAUAACCAAAACCGAAAAGGAAAUCAAUAUGAUAAUUAGGAAAAUUUAUACUAUUUAUUAACAUAAGGUUCUUUGUCAACCAAAAUUGCAGAAAAUUGUGGUAAGAAUCACUUCACUUCAAUUCAAAUAGAUUAUGAUUAAGAAUAAAUAUGUAAAACACAAAAUAAAAUAAAUGAAAUGUAAAAGGAGGGAAACCGCACGUCUCCCUUCUUCUCCCCCUUUUCUCUCUGCCUUUAUCUCCAAAUACAUAACUGCUCCACGUUUUCCUCGUCACAAUAAUGUCUCUUUUCCUGAACUCACGUAUUUUGCAACCCAAACUGCUUCCAUACUUUAUAAUGUUUAAUUCCUUUUCGAACUCUACUGAAGUAAGAAUUAAUCUGCAAGUUUCAGUUUGUAAGACAUAAAAAGUCCACCCAUUGAUGCACUUAAGUGGCUAACAUUUCAUGUAAAAUUUAGAUAACCCUAUAUUUGUUAUUUGGUAUAACUUAUGAUAUAUUGGAUCGAUGCAUGCAUACCGCCAUGGUGAUCCUUGAUUGCAGCACAAGGAAGACACAUACCUAGCACAAAGGAGGAGGCAAGCAUGCCGCCAUGGCGACCUCUGAUUGCAGGUCGGCUUCUCCAGUCAAUAGAGCCUUCCCAUUUAGUGAUGAGAUUCUGUUCUUGCCCCUACAGUAACCAUUACCAAAACUCAUGAGGUUUAGGAAAAACCAGGCAUGAGAGGAAAUAAAGUGUAAGGGAUGAAAGAAAAAAAAAGGAUAAAGAAAGAAAGAGGAAACCACCAUUUUCUAUCUUGUGAGCCUUUUUUUUUCCCAUUUGGCGAUUCAAUUUAAUUUGGAUCGGAUCCCUGGUGCCAUAGGAUUUUGAUUAGAAAUAAAAAGGAGCGACUGGAGAUUUAAAGAGUUUGUGAAAUUUUCAAAUCUCAAAGAUGUUUGAAAUUUCCCAAAAAUUCGGUGUCUCGCCUUUUCUAAAUAUUUUUCAUUAUGUGUAUGAUUAUACCACACAUUAUGUCCGUGGUUGAUAACAAAAAUGCGCUGUAGAACUAACAAUAUUGACCACGAGCAUUGUCCGUGGUGGCUUAGUAUAUUUACAACGUGCAACUUUGCGUGUGGUCAUUCACCGUUAUUUUACAACGGGCUAAGAUUUGUCUGUGAUGAAAAAUUAAUUUUUAUAACGUGCGUAUUAUGCCCGUGGUAAAAUUUUAUUUUUACAACGAGCUCAUAAAGUCCGUGGUAAAAUUGUCGUGAUAGAUGUGUUGUUUUCUUGUAGUGGCUGCAGAGAGAACAAAGCAAGUCCAUGUUUCUAUGGUAUCAAAAUUGCAGAAAUCAAACAAUGUAGAUGAGGAUUUUGAAGAUUCUGAAUCUAAGAGAAGAGAAAUUUACCUUUGGGGAAGAGUGGUGGCCGCUGCUGCUGAAACUGAAAAGAUUUUGGCAAAUAAGGCGAGAAGGAAGACAGUGGGAGUCGGCAACUCAGAAUUUCAGCCAAACAUAAAGAGAAUAUGAAGAAAGAAAUAGUUUUGUAAGAUGCUGAGAAGAAAAACAGGGAACAAUAGGGUUUUACCUGAGGACUCGAGCUGGGCUCUAAGACGUAGACCUCCCUCUCCCUUCUUCUCCCUGACAUUCCACACCCUCCCCCCUUCUCUGUCUGUAACUAAUACAGCCCAAACAAAAUGUAAUGUUUACAUGUAUAUCGCUAUUUGUAACGUUUAAAUAAAUACACAAUCAAACGUUUAAAUAAAUGGUUGCAAAUGAUCCGACUGUUAAAGAGUAAAUUCAUAAGAACUUACCAUGCACUUGAGCAUUUUUCAACAUUCCAUUAAGCACAGACAAAAUGUAAUCUACACGUAGAUGAGACAAGACAUGUUUAGGUGUUAAGCCAAAUGCAAGAAGUCAGACAAGUGAAGAAAUAAGAACCUUGACAGCUCAUCAUUUCUUAUACUUUGGACUCAGCGUUGGAAAUUUGUCUACCAGGCAUAACAUCUGAAACAUUAUUUAUUCAUAUGAAUGUGAGAAUGAUUACUUUCAAUGGCAUUCCAUCUAGAAAUGUAAAGGGGUAAUUUAAUUCAUCUAUACUUCACCGUGUUCAUGACUUGCAAAUUUUCUAAACAACACAAUAAAUAACAGAGAUUAGGGAGAGUUGAAUCAAAGGAAUCAGUAGUGUAAAACUGACAACAUGCUUACAAAUUCAACUCCAGUUGUGCUGAUGUAGCUAUCCAAGUAUGAAUCAUCCUGUUCAACGAUUCCGAAGCACAGAAAAAAAUUGCAUGAGAAAAUUGAGAUCAUAUGCAAUUGUAUGUCAAAUAACCUGAAAUAUAACAUAUAUCCAAUAUUAAGUGCAUACACGUACAAACUAAUCUUUAUAUAUACUUUAAAAUAAUACAAAUCAAGGGAAUCUAAAACAUUGGAAACAUUAUCAUACAAUUAAAUAAUCACGAUGCAGAAAAUUUUAUUUGCAUUAUUUUCAGAUAACUUUUCACCCCACAACACUAAGACAGAAAGCAUACCCAAACCAAUAGUGGCGUUCCAACCACUGCGAUUUCACAAACUUCUCAAUGGAGGAAGAAAAACACAAAAUACACUACUUGAUCACUUGUGGUUGAGCUUUUAUCGCUCAACCUGUCUUUAUCUUUGUGUAGCUCUCUGACUGAAACAUUAUUCAUAUAAAAUUUCAUUACAGUAUAAAGUAUACUUAUAUAUAUAUAUAUAUAUAUAUAUAUAACAUAAUAACCUUCUAAAAGCAAUAUCUUUUAAAAAACAUUCCAUCAAUUGAACAUUACCUCCCUGACACACCCCGUCCCGAAGGAGGGCGUGUUGGCCGUCACGUGAGAGUGACGUAACCAUUUACACAGUUCGGAAGCUCUUAAAAUACAAUUACUAAAUGGAAACCCUCGAGGGUGAGUCCUACUUUUGUGAAUUCUGUCAUAACGUCGUUGGGUUCCUCGUGGCCACCAAAGCUCUGCUAACUUAAACUUGGAGGGGCGAAAAACAAAAUUGAGUGGGUCAGUAAAACAAAGUUUUUCAAAAAUCUUUCGCCAAAAACAAUUCUAACCCCUCACCGUAAAACCUGUAUACUUUCCCAGAAAAAUAGUAUAUAAACAUAUAUAUAUACGCAACAUCAAGACUCGGCUCAUGUCCAUCAUCAUAACAUCUCAGAAAUGAUAUGCCAUGCCCAAAUAUAAUCAGAAUGCAUCAAUGACAAUAAGGUGAAAUAAUAAAUCAACCAGAGACUCUACAAUGGUCAUGUACGGCUGAUUCUAAGGCUCAACAUCCAAUCUAACCGGAGUCACCUCGGUGACCUGUACGGUUCAACUCUGCACGUCACUCGGAACUACAUAUAGUAGUCUGUACGAUGACAGGUGUAUGAAUACGCUCUAAUGCUUCUCUCAUCAAUCAUUGACGCGCAUAACUAAGGUCACCUACUAGUUGGAAUCACAUCUAGUGAUCUGUACAACUAGCAUGUCGGAACCCUCACAUGGUCUGUACGACAUCCACCUACUUGGAUCCAAGACGAGCGUGCGGUGUGGUGAAUAACAAUAUAAGCACUAUCACCUAGGUGCAGGUUAUGAACUUUCAAUGCAAUUCAUAUAAAUAACUCAGCUGAAUAAUAAAUAAACUCACAUGAGCGUCCACCGCGUCAAUUCACAUAUAUAUGCAUCAAUAAUCAAACUAAAUAUCUCAAUAAUUUUAUGCAUGGCAAAUAAAUUCAUAACUUUCAUAAAAACGUAUUUUCUGGGAAAAAUAACUGUAUAUAGGUAAUACGAAAUCAAAAUUGCCCACUCACCUGGAGUUCGUCCAACAACUCCCUAGCACCACACAUCAAGGCGUCAUGACGAUCGCCGCCUAGAACAGUAAUCAAAUCCAACCUCAGAAUUCAUAUCGAGAGAAUAUAUAACUUGUAUAAAAUACGUCACUACGUAGUUCGAUCCGGGAGAUCUGCAAUUCCGAUUUUAAAUCCAUAACUUCCAGAGGUCCACAAUAUACCUCUAGGACAACAUCCUAAAAUUUCAUUACCAUCCAACGGUCGGAUCUCCGUCAAUUUCCAAAACCAAGUGACGGUUAACAUUCUAUAUUAUGGACUUACAACUCCAAUUCCGGAAGAUCCGCAAAUCGGAUUCCCAAUCCGUAAAUUCCUAUAAUCCUCAAAUAUUACGUAUUACAACGCAUCAAAGUUUGGUGACAAUCCAACGGUCGGAUCGUCAAUUCACCUUUUCACCUAAAUGCGAAACUAUAAAACGUUAUUUAAAGCACCUAACCAACAAUCCUUAAUAACUUCUCAUAUGGUGCUCAAUUUGGGUAUAUGAAUAUACCACAUUGACCUACUCGACGUCACGGACGUCGACAAAUUUUUAAAAUAAUUUUUUGAUGUGGCACGCGCCCCCACGCGCUAUGGAAAGCACGGGUCCACGUGCGCCCACGCGCACCUUCUUCCUCGCGAGCUUGCCGAACUGGUUUUUCCGGUGGCCGGAAAAUUGGGGAAUUUUCAAAUGCUUCGUUCUCCUUCGUUUCUCAACCAUUUUCUUCGUAUAAUAUAUCAAUUUGAAGCCCUUAACAUGUAGAAUCACAAUAGACUAGUUUCAAGGUCCAAAAUCCACUAGAUUUUACCUGAGGAAGCACGAUAAUCCGACGUCCAAUUUUGAAAAACUCCUAUCUCGAUCCUCCGACGUCCAAAUUCUACCAACAAAGUACUACUAGACUCGUGUGGACUCCCUUAAGCUUCCUACAAGCUUGAAAUUUCCAAAAACACAAGUUUUAACGUUUGCAUGAAUAGUACCCCCAAAUCGGGUUUACUGUUUCAACGUGAAUACGAAGCUAUCCUUACCUGAAAAUGGUAUGGUUGAGUUCGUGGAGUCCUCACAAGCACGAUGGUGCCUUCAAAACCCUCGAUCCAUGAAGUUUCAGGGUUAUAUGGUGGUGGUCCGUACAUUCGAGAGUGAGGGAGAGAAAGGAAGAAUUGAGAAGGAGAGAAAGAUAGAGGGCACGUGGAAAGUGACAGGGUGUCCCGUGUGUGUGUGGUCCCUCAAAACCAUUCCAUCCCUAUUUCCUAACGACAUAAAAAUACAUACCAAAUUUUAAAUCAACCUUUAAUCCAAUUUAAUUAAUUUUCCAAAAACUUAGGAACCAUGAAAUGUUCAAACAUAUCACACACACGUACCUUAAUACUCGCUAAGGGUAAAUCCGUCAUUUCACAUUCCCGUCAAAUGUAUCUCCGGGACGGGCUGUGACAUCCUGUCUAAGAAAACUGAUGACAAUCGCAAGCUAAACUAUGAAAUACCAAAUUAAAUACAGAAUAAUCACAACCCCAAACCAAACAAAACCCCAAUCAAUUAAAAAAAACAAUCAGAGUUGGAAAAUCCUUUAUGCAGAAACGUGAAAAAGAACAAAUCAGAGAUGCACUUACACCACAAUUCAUGAUCAUUAUCCAAAAUUUGCAGAGCAAACAUACAAUCAAACAGAUACCUCUCUAUUUUUCAUCUCUCUCUCCCUGUUAUUUGUAUUGUGAUAAGGUUUAUGAUAAACAAUGAUUUUACCAAAAUUUAAUAAUAAAAAACAUCACAGUAGAAGUUUAACAUGAGAGAAAGAGUCAAUCUCUACCUUUGAUGUGUUGAUCCUACCAUCCCCUUGCAUGCUUGAUCUCUACAUAAAAAUAGAGUUUGGUUGGUGAGAAAAUGCAGAGAAAACGAACAAAAUUUAAUGUAAUUCAUAAUUUACCAGUAUUAAUAGAACCAAUAACUUAAUAACAGUUUUACAUCAUUAAUUAGUAGAAAACAAUACAUAAAUACAACCCAACAAAAUAAACAUACUGCAUUCAUUGCUGAAGCAGGGAGCCAACCUCCAUGCUGCUAUUGUGCAAAAUCCAGCAGAGGAAUCACUGCAGACUGUUUGUAGUUGGAUGGAUAAUGGGAUAGUAUCUCUUUCACCUAAAACUUAAAAAAAUGACACUUUUUAGAACUCAAAAAACAUAAAAAUAAUUUUGCAAGUGGCAAAUAAUGGAUAUAAUCAAUGCUCGUGGUUUGAUAGCUCAAUUCAAGAACUUAUAUAACAUCAUCAUCAUAUGAAUUAGUAGGAUCACUUUCUAAAAUUCAAUAAAUAACUUGGGGAAAUUUAAACCUUAUAGGACAAUCCAAUUCUAGUAACUCAACUUAGCAACGUGGUUGGAACGUUCAGCACCCCUUACACUCUAGUUAUGUAUAAAUUCAAAAUUGAGCAUGUUUGAAUUAAGGGUGCUAAGAAAAUCCUAAACCUUUUAUACACAUCUUUGCUUAAAUAUCGAGGCUUGUAAUGUUUGACAUAAAUAGUUCAGCCUAAAGCACACAUUGACAACCAAAUUACACAAUCUUUCUCCUUUUUUCAUCUUUUCACAACGACAUGUCUUUCGCCAAAGUUACUGCAUUGCAUUGCCAUUGAAUAAUAUCCUACAAACUAAUUAGGCAAAUGGGUCGCUGAAAUUCACUACAAAAAUGCUCCGCAAAAUUAUUAAUUCCAACAAAAUUGAUAGAACCGAGUGGAAGUUUGUAAGACCCAUUUGCAGGAAGGAAAUGGGUGCUUUGUAGAAAUUGAAAAGAUGGAAAAUCGAUAGUUCAUGAUUUUGGUAGUCCAGAUUAGAUUAGCUUUAGACUCUACCAGUUUAUUGCAUGCCUGCCUUUUAUCCAUAAUUCAUGUCCUAAUUUAUCUGUUUAGGUUUUAGUUCUUGCCUUUGGGAAAACCCAAAAUCUCUACCUCAAACGCCCAUCUGCAACCACACUCCUUACACCCCCCCCCCCCGUCUCUUUCCCCAACCCCUGCUUCACUAAAUGACACACCCAUAACUCUCUCCCCACAGCCAAGGAGCAACCAAAUUCAACUCCAAUAUAAUAAAACUUAACAAAAUACCCAUUUUCACUCACUCCAAUCCUCUAAGAACCCAUAAUUUUUUUCAAUCAGAAAAAGUAAAAAUUAAGCAUUGACUUAAAUCCUGAUAAAAUGAGUAAGUAAUCAGCAACACUUGGUUCAAAAUUUUACAAAUUCACCAACAAUACACUUCAACACAUCCCCAAACAGCUCAGAAAUAGUGAAAUUUGAUUCGAUUCAAUUCAAUUCAACUCGAUUCGAUUCAAUUCAAUUAAUUUCAAUUCAAUUAGUUCAAUUCAACAAUUAUAAUCAUUAAUAUUAUAUUGGAACUAAAUUGAUUGAUAAGACACCUUUAAAAUCAUAAAUCUGAUAAGCAAUCUCACAAUUAACGCAGAUUAUGUUCAUAUCAAAAUCCAUACAGAGAUACAAAUUUGGAAAUAGAGUGUAAAUUCCAUCAAACACGAAGAUAGAGAGAGAGAUAGAGACUACCUGCUAUUGCUUGGCAACCUGAUCUCUUAGCUUCUUGAUUGCCUCCAUUGCAGCUCAGCUGUAGGUAGUCUCGAUUUUUCAAAGUUGUGCUUCAAGCCUUAAUCUAGACUCUAGAGGCUGAGUGAGUUUAUAAAAAAUAAUAAUUUAAUAAGAAAUUAACAUUGAAAAUAAAUCAAGAACCCAAAAAAAAAUGAAAAUUUCAUACCUCUAAGUUUAUGGGUUUAACUGUGGAAUCCAAUUGAGAACCACUAAAAAAAGGGAAAACUGACCAUAACACGUUAGACAAUGCAAGCAAAAAAGGGAUUUCAGUGGAAUUGAAAAGGCAGAAAUUAACAACCAAACCCAUUUAAUCAUACAACCAAAACCCAAUACCCAUUUAAUCAUACACCAAUGAAAAAUCUAAACACAGAGUCACAAAUUAACGAACUGAAAACCCACAAAAAGAACCAAAAAAGAAAAAAGAAAAAGGAAAUUGACCUUAAAACAAAGAACAAAACACAAAACAGAGAGAUGCAUCCCCAACAGUAUAGAAUCGAAUUAAAAAUUGAACUUAGCUCAAAAACACUUACCCUUCAACGUUUGGAGCCUCAGAAAAAUUUAUGAAGUUCACGCAAAUAUUUUUAGGUCUCAAUGCACCUAUCUUGCAAACCAACAAAAAUGAAAAUGCAUUAACACAAAUGCCAAAACCGAUUUCUAAGAUUUUAGUAUUCUCUUUACCCUUGCAACCGAAAAAAAAAAAACGCAGAAAAAUGAGCAAGAAGCUUAAGCAAAAAAAAAAUCAUAUUUUCAACCACCAAAACCCAAUACCCAUUUAACCUGAGAUUUCAGUGUUCUCUUUACCCUUGCAACUCAAAACAAAAAAUCCCAGGAAAAUGAGCAAGAAGCAUAAGCAGGAAAAAAAAACAUAUUUUCAACCACCAAAACCUAAUACCCAUUUAAUCAUACACGAACGAAAAUCUAAACACAGAGUCAUAGAUCAACGAACUGAAAACCCACCAAAAAAAAACCAAAAAAAAAAAAAAAAAAACUGACCUUAAAACAAAGAACAAUACACAUAACAGAUAGAUGCAUCCCCAAAAUGAGAGAAAAUAACAGAAAACGAAAUAAAUAAGGGAACCCCCAAAACCUGACCCAACAGUGCAACAAAUCCAGAAAUAAUUCACAGUAAAAAGGCUGAAAUGAUGACAGUCUAUACUAACAGUAAAGAAUCCAAUAACAAAAGGAACUUAGCUUUCUAAAUCCAGCCACUCAUCCGACACGCAAAAAGGAACAGACGAUCUAGAGUGAUUCAUGGACUGAGGGGCCUUACUCGGCUCUGUUUACCAUCCCAACCCCUCCCUCUCUGUUUCUCUCCCUAUUAUCCGGACAACCACUCUCUCUUUUUCUCUUUCUCUCGCGCGCUACUCGCUUAACUUCGGAAUUCCAACGGAACUGAAGCCAGUGAGCUCCCAAAAGCCCUCAUGCUAGCUAGGGAUGAGAAUAUACAUAUAAGGAUCAAUCCCCUGAGCGAUGUGGGAUCUUACAGCCUAGCCUUCACGUGAUCGUUCACCUCCCGCACCACACGCUUACCUUGGAUCCAAGGCAGGUGCCAGCCUGUCGUACAGACUACAUUAGGUGGUUCUGACUCGUAGGUGACUUGCGAUACUUCGCACAACCUUCACGUGAUCGUAGCACUUGAGCGUAUCUAUUUACAUCUAGCCUGUCGUACAGACCACAUUAGUUGGUUCUGACUCGUGUGCAUGAAUUGGUUAUGAGCUAUAGGUUCAGCCGUACAGGUCGCAUUAGGUGACUCCGACUGACAUUUCAUAUUAUAUGAUUCACAUCACCUGGCUUACAUAUUUAUUACUGAAAUACUUGACAUGGCACUCACUUUGGUUUUCAUUACUCUCAAGCCUGAUUUCUAUAUACUUAUGUAUUAUUAUUUUCUGGAAAAUUAUACGGGUUUUACGGUGAGGGAUUAUUAUUUUUGAAAAGAGAAAUAGUUUCAAAAAGCUUUGUUUUUGCCCACUCACGUUUUUUGUUUUCGCCCCUCUAGGUUUUAGCUGCUGAAGUUCGUAUCGACGAGGAUUCUUGGCGAAUCUCAGUAUAGGUGGCUACCUCUGAGGGUAUGAUCAUUACCCACACUACUGUACUUUACUUAUACUUUGACGUCACGUGUGAAAUGAAUCCAUUCCUGCUCACAUCUCACUCUUGUAUUUAGCUACUUUUAGGUUUAAAUUUAUUCACAUUUUUCACAUCACUACAUUUUAUGGCUUCGUCACCUUCCAGGUGUCGGCCAACACAACUCGAUUCGGAGUCCUAGUGGACAUACCGGGUCGGGGUGUGUCACCUACACUAUAAAAUUUAAUUUACCUAUUGUUUAAUUUUUAUAAAAUAAUGUAUCUACUAUACAAAAUAAUGUACCUACAAUAUAAUUUGCCUAAUGAUUAAUUUUUAUUAAUAUAGGUAAAUUAAUAUAUAUAUAUAUAUAUAUAUAUAUAUUUGUGUUUAUAGUAUUUAUGAUACAAGAAAGGUAUAUUUUCAUAUGGGUUUAAUUGGUGAUCAUAAUUAGGGUGAGUAAUUAUAUUCAUUGACAAGAUUAGAGCUUUGUGACAUAAGUUGUAAAUAUGUUGGAAUAAUUGGCUACAUAUUUGUCUACAUGGUAGUCUAUUCGAAAUUUGGGUGUUAUUUGAAUAUUUAAUAUUAGAUAGGAUUUUGUUUGGAAAAUAAAAGUUUCAAAGGUCUAUCUCUAAAAAACCCUAGAAAUUAUUAUAUUACUUUAGUCUAAAGUAGGAGGGAAAUUGGCACUAUUCAUGUGAAUAGUGUUUUGGACCACAUUUCAGUUUAUUUACAAUAUUGCCACUCGAAUGCUUUUACCCAUCUUUCUCUUUAUUUACAAAAAAAACCCCUCAGGCUUCAAGCCCGAUUUGUAGCCUUUGGGCUGCAUCUCAGGUUUGACUCGGGGAGAAAGAGGGGAUGGGGACAUAAGGGCUGACAAAUUGGAGAGAGGAGACAGCUGGUUGUGGCUGUGGCUGUGGCUGUGGCUGUGGCUGUGGCGAGAGGAGAGGAGGGGCACAGAGGGACGGACAGAUUGGAGAGAGAUGGGAGCUACGGGUGAUCUUGAUGCCGCGUGUUGAUAAUCGUGGAAAGGUCGGGGUGCGAUGGUCGCUUUAGUCUGUAGGGUUUCGAACGGAUUGGGUGGGUUAGGGAGACUUUCAUUUCCUUUCUUUCUGUGAUCUGCAGAGGGACUCGGUGAGACCAUGCCGUCAGGAGAGAGAGCAGGAGGGAGAGAGAGGGAUUUGGUGAGGGGAAGGCAUGCGGCUUGCAGAGAUGAGGAUGAGAAAGGGGGAGGGACAAAGGAAGAGAGAGAGAUAGGGAUUGGGUGAGGGGAAGGCAUACGGCUUGCAGGUAGACAGAGUCACAGGGGUGUACGAUUCAAGGGAGAGAGAGAGAGAGAGAGAGAGAGGAGAUUGAGUGGUGGCAUCACUCUUACUACCUGCACUCCUGAGGCCGGCUACCAGAGAGAAGGACACAUGAGAGGAGAGAAAGAAAGAAAGAGAGAGCGCGCAGAGGCAGGAAGGCCUGAGAUUGAGGACAAAGGCCAUGGUUGCACAGAAUGACUGAGAUUUGAAGCCCAUGACAGCCUCAGCUGAUUGAAAAGGUGAGGAGUCGUUUUCAAAUCUUUUGUGCUUUAGGAUUAGGUUUACAAACUCUAUUCAUAUCAUGCAGCUUCAGAUUCGAAAUUGUGAUUUUGGUCAGCAAACCCAGCUCCAAUCAUCUACAAAUCAAACCUCACGAAGUAAAGCACUCCGAUUCCGAUUCAUAUCAUGCUUCUGAUGGAUCUGGUUGUGGUCUCUGUGUAUUUGCGCAUCCAUAUAACUCUGAUUUGUCCAACAUGCUCAUGGAUUUUUUUGUAUGAUUUUGCAGGGCAAAUUACUAUAUUGCCUAUUUUCCUUUCAAAUCCAACGGGUCGAGGCAGGCUAGAGCUGGUAUAGAUUACAAAUAUUAGUUUUGCAUAGCACUGUAAUUUUGAUUGGUGAGAUCGGCCUCAUUAAAAAAAAAAAAAAAAAAAAAGAACAGCCAUCUUUCAAUUCAAUAGUAAAGGCCUUCAUUCAAAUAUGAGUUUUGCAUAGCACUAUAAACAUUAUAUGUAGUUACAGAAUUGCUGUUUUGAUUGGUAGCUCUAUUGAUUUUUGUUUAGUUGAUUUGAAUUUAUACCGAAUUUACUUAAUUUUUAGUACAAUUAUUUGCUUUCUGGUUUUUAAUUUAAAGACUAGGAGUUUGAAUGGUGUAGUGGAGGUUGAUGUUGUUUCCCACAUUUUUGUUAUGAAUUCUCAAUGUUUGAUGAAUUCGGGAAAUCAAUUUUGUUAUCUCUUAUGCAGUUAUGAUCGUAUGAGUUGGAAUUUAGAUUUCACACACAUGUAAACUGAAAAAAUAAAAUAGAUUUCGUAAUUCGAAGUUAGCCGACCCCACAUGAUGGGAAAAGGCUUAAGAAGAAGAAGUUAGCUCUAAACUAUAGAAGCAUGGAAGUUUAUGUGGACCUUAGAUUGUUUUGAAAAAUAAUUGAUUGAUUCAAGAAAGCAAAGACCUUGGAACCUUAACUGUCUCAUUGUAAUCCAUCACCAAGUUCUGGUAAUUUAUGUUCUAUUUUUUCAGUCAUCUGAAACUGAAUUGCAUUUGGGUGUUUGUCUUUGAUGCUAUUUUUUGGAUGUAGGUAACUAGAUUCUUAUUCUCUGGGAAUUGUAUUCGUUUGUUCAAUCUCAGUAUUUUACCAAUAUUCUCACGAUGUCCUUUGUUUUUAAUCUAUAAUUUAUUUUGUCCAAUUCAUGAAAAAGUUGAUGAAAAAGUUGCAGUUUCGGAAAUGACUGUCAGCAAUCAAGAUGUGAAAAAGAAGGUUCCUUUUUCUUAUUUUUGUUUCCAAGUUCUUCUUCUGGUCUAUUUUGUGGAUAAAAAAAAAGGAUCUUUCGGCAAACAGAAUGGUGUUUUUUUUAUCAGAUUUUGUUAAUUAAUUGGAUUUUGUGUUUACCCUUUCAUUUCAGUCUUUUAUUCAUAAAAUCUUCACCUCAAAGGAGAAAGAAGGAAGCGGCUCUUUGGAUUUCUCAGGUGAGUCUCUAAUGGUUGACUGCAACUGAAUAUCCUUCUUCCUUUCUUCUUUGUUUGAAACAGUGAUAACUCAGUCAACUAUGAGUAGAUGUAUAGUGGCCUGCUUCAGUGCUCACUUGGUAAAGUUUUUUGGUCACAUAAAGGUGCUAGAGUUGGGAACUUUUUGGAUCUUAAAUCAUUGGUUGCCUAACAUUCUCUAUAUUGAAAGGCAUCAUUUUUGUUACCACAUUUUAUAUAUUUUAGACAAUGAAUAUGAGUGCAGUGGACUCUGAGUCAGUGAACAGGGAGUUACUAAUUUUGUUAUAUGAGAUUUGGUUAAAUGUCUAAUACACAUGGUUGCUGAGGUUUGUUUACAUUGGUGGUAAAUUCUUGCUUUCUUUUCAAUUUUGUUUUAUUGUAAUUCGUCUUGGUUUAUGGAUCUUGCAUUGCUGACGUGAAAUGGUUAUAUUUCAAUGUUUGUGAGAUGUCGAAUUGUGUGUUUGUGGCUUAGUGAGAGUUAGAUUUAGAUUGUGUAGAAAAUGUGGGCUUCGGAGUGUAACCCAAUUAGCAAUUUGGAGUGAUUGAGGAGAAGUAUUCUGAGCUGCAGUAGGACUUGGUGAGACCAUGCCGUCAGGAGAGAGAGCGAGCGAGCAGAGAGAGAAGAGGGAGGGAGGGAGAGAGAUAGGGAUUUGGUGAGAGGAAGAGAAAGGAGGGAUGUGACUUUUGACUCGGGGAGAGAUAACUGUGCCUGUUGCUUCGGUCAGAGCAUUGUUGGGGGAGGAGGACAGAGGGACUGACAGAUUGGAGAGAGAUGGGAGCUAGGGGUUUUGACUCGGUGAGAUUGUGAGGGAGAGGGGGAUGGCAGAGACAGAUGAGAGGGAGCUGGGCGUGGGAAUUGCAGAGAGAGAAAGAGAACUCAGAAGAUAUUUGUUUUGUUGAGAGCUGACAAGAAAAGGGGAGAAACAACGGCAAAGUGACAGAAUUUGAGAAUCUGAAGAAAAAAAUGAUUAGUGGGGUUUUAGCUUGUGGCACUUUCUUCCCUGCUUUCUAAACACAUUUUUCUCAACACACCCCUUCAAGCUCUGGAAGUGUUUGCUCAAAUUGGAGCUCAAAAGCGUCAAAUUUUAUGGAACAAAUGGUCUCAAAGAAGCAGAUUACACUGCGCAGUAGCAGCGCAGGACGCGGUGGGCCUGGGUUUGGUAUUGUUCAUACCUCUGUUUCUUCAAUUUUUUUAAUUUCUUUUAUAUGCAAUUUCUGUGCAUGCUGCUGAAAUGAAUAUGGUGGUGGAAACUGUUGUUUUAUAUGAAUUGGGUUUUUCACUACAUUAAUAAAGAUCAAAUCUUUGUGGUUCUUUGUUGUUUAUCUCAACCUUGCUUUGCCCACAGCCGCUUGAAGAUGACGUGUUCCUGAUAGUCGGUCACUUCCGUGACAGUUCCGAACGAAGGAUUCGGCUCCCAAGCUCCGAUGAUUGUGUCUGGCAAAGAGAAUUCAGGAAGAGUGGAAGAUCCAAGAAGGAUUUGCCAGGCGAGUUCUUUUGUUUUUUAUUUUGAAUUUCCUUUUAAAUAACUGUUUUGAAUUAAUGGUAGUGAAGUUUUCUCAUACUUAGCCUAUUCAUUUUUAUCAAAUAUUUUGCACUGACUAUUUCAUGAUGCUGACUGAUGUAAUUAAUUUGGUUUUGUACUGAAAGUUGGAGUUGAGAAUAUAUGGAAUAUAGUUGUUGGAUUGGUGUUUGUACUAUAGAAACUUAGGUGUGCUCACCCCCUUUUCAUGGACAUCCAUAGCUUAUGAGACGCUGUUCAAGUCGGACCACUGGUGAAUGCCUAAACUGUUGUGCUUAAAUAGAUUCAUCAACUCAAUAUUGUCGUUAAUUUUUGUUUUGAGUCCAUUUUCCCUGCUGCUGUUCUAUUAGGAUUAUAAGCUCAGUCGUUCAGGCAUGACACAUUUUCAGUGGGAAGUCAUAAGCAUAAUUCAUUUUUUUUUAGAUUAGACUCAAGAUUUUUAUUUGCAUUAUUCUUCCGUUUUACAAAUAUAAUUGGCUGCCUUAAUGAUUGUUGAUGAAUCAUCACGAAAGUCCAUUUCUCUUUUAAUCAUUGACUAUUUUUUUUCUUCUUCAUUGGCAGUCGAGGCAAAAGGUUCUUGCGAUUUCAAUCAAAUGCAAACUGUGCAAGUAUAUAUGUUGUAUGCACACAUGCAUAUAAACUAAUAUAAUAUAUAUACAUGAUUUCAUGUGUUAAAGAGUGUACUUGUUCUUAAAUAAAGGUUCUGCUGACAAAUGUGUUUAACAAUAUGAUCUUACAACUCAUCUUUAAACUUUGUAUAACUGAAAUAUUAUUCAUCAAUUGUAACUUCCCCUGUUGCUAUUUGCUAAUGACACAAGCUAUGAAGAUUGUACUCAUUCUGUUCGUAGAUGCAAGGCUAGAAAUUAGGUUUGUAUGGGGUUAAAUCAAUUGAUGCUAUAGUAUUUGUUAAAAUUGUAAGAUUUGGUGGUUUGGUAAAUUGAUUAUAGUAAUGUUGUUUGUGGUUUGGGUUCUCCUUUUGUUUUGGAUAGAUGAUGCUUGAUUGUGGUUUAAGUUUUUAUUAUUAUUAUAUUCCCUGCACAUUGCAAAAUUCUGGUACUAUUUGAGGAUUUUGGUGUUGAAAGUCUAGGGUUUAGUGGAAUGAAAAGAAGGGAUGUAUGCGUUUCGGAAAUGUGUUUUUAAGGUACCUUUAACUCCUAACUGCCAUUUAGCAUUCAAUAUAUACUCUAUUGCUGGCUGGGGUUUACCCUUUUGAGCAUUUUAUUACGUUUCUUCUUGCUCUCUGACUGAAAAUUUUAAAUGCUAUAGGUGAAUGCAAACAGUGCAAAACGCGGUCUGAAAAAUGGACGAAAGCGAGCAUUUCGACUUGCUGCUGCAAUACACAGGUGUGUUGAAAACUUUCCCAAAUCCUUUGUGCUUACACAAUUAUACAUGUGUGUAUGUACAGCUUUAUACAUGCAUCUGUGGAAAUACAUACGUUAGAGCCUGGUUUUUGUUUUAGAUUUAUAUGCUAGUUGUUAGGUUCUAGCUAUGUGAAGUUUAUGUCUUUAAUUUAUUUUUUUAUGGAAGUAGCUCAUGUUUGCUUACCCGGCGGUGGUUAUUCUGAUUUAGUGGUUAAAAAUGGAAAUUUCACUCGCAGUAAGGGAUUAAUUGAGGUUCAUGCAUGCAUCCGUGGUGUAAAUUUGAGAGAUGGAAUAAUAUAUGUGUGUAAAGUCCCUUCUUUUGGUUUUUUAUUGCACUGUUUAGGUGGUGAAUUGCACGGAAAAUGGGGGAAGAGAGGGGUACAAUUGAUUUAAUUUGAGCAAAACAAUGGCAUUUAAGCUUAGUUAGUUAGUGAUUAUUAGAGUCAAUAAGGCGCCAUUUGUCUUUAACUGAAAUAUGAAUUUAUUGAAUGAUGAAUGAGGUUGUAGUGUGAGAGAAAUUGAGAAAGUAAAGAAAAGAUGGAAGAUGAAGCUACAAAUAUGUGACAAACAAUAAUGAUAGAUCAAUUCAUCUAUGUUGGUUUAUUAAACUUGGUCAAGCAAGCGUUUUGUUUUAAUUGGGAUAUAGUUUGGUACUUUCAUACUAAUUUCCAUAGUUUAUAAUAGUUAACCAACCAAAGGUGCUUUCUUUUCAUUAUUUUCCAAUAUAUUUUAGCCAGCUGACAAUCUUAAAAGAUUUACUUAGACGCAAAACAAAUCCGUGUAUUAUACACAUACCUGAGAUUUAUGGGGCCAUAUUUGCGCCUUCUUCCGGCAUCGUUUAUUGGUAAGUUGUAAAACCUUUGUAGAUCUCAUGUUCAUUUCAGAUUUUUGUAUCAAUUUUUGUAUCAUAAUGGAAUUGCAAAUCAAGUAUAUCUUGGAUUCUUACUUGCAUACUCACUUUUCCACAACUAUUAUAUUGUCUCUUGACUGGAUGAAUUUUCAUAAUUUCCUGGAUCUACGGUUACAAUGCUUUUUAUAAUUUCCUAGCUCUAUCCUUUUUGUUUGUGCAUGAUUAUGUUGAUUUUUUUUAAGGUUAAAUGUGUCUUAUUCAUGUAGUUAAGGUUUGUGCAUUCAAGUUCCGCAGCAAUGCGCGGGCAUUUUUUCUAGUAUUAGCUAAUGCAGAUUGGAUGAAACUCUGGAAGUUGACUAUAUAUUAGUAUGCGUUCAAAUUCUGGAUAUCAAAAUAUAAUUGUCUCCAGUAAUACUAAAUUUCGUUAUCGUUAUGGUGUAUAGAUCAAGUGGAUUAAUUAUAGCUACGUGGGGUGCUUCAGAGUGUACGGCAUGUGGAUAACUUUUCAGUGGUCGAAUAGUGUUCUUCAAAAUGUUUUGAUUAAUUUUCUUGAAGUUCAGUUGCUAGCUAGUAUAUGUAUAUUUUUUUAAGGGAUGAUAGUGUUCUCAUUCCCUUAAUCUUAUUAAAAUAAAAACAGAAAUACAAACAAGGGUGUGGAUCCAAAUUUCUGCCUUUUUUUUCUUGGACGAAAAUGCACCUGCAAAACAAUUAACACUUUAGGUUAAGGUCAAGAGCGUCACGCGCCCAUGAUGAAUGGGGGACCUUUGGCCGAAGAACUUCCGAUGUCAAAGUUAGAAUUUGAGGGAGAAAGUAUUUGGAGAAAUCUGGAGAAUUUCAAAAGAGAAUUAGAUUCAGGUUGUUUGAGAAAAUGAGGGGCUAUAUAUGGAGGUGUGGCCGACCCUAUUAGGAAAUUUGGGACCGGUCACAUAUGGUUGAUGUGUGGGAUUGAUUGCAAGAUAUUAUGUGAGAUAAUAUCUUACAAUUAAUUUGGUAAUUAAUCAAUUAAUCCCAAUUUGAAAAGAAUAAUUGGGAGUUAUCUUGUGGGUGAGAAUUUGAUGAGGAGUGAUGAGAGAGUUUUAAAAGAAUACCAUUUUGAUCACCUUUGACCUUGAUUGAGUUAUUGUUUGUUACAUGUGUGGGAAUCUUGAUGUGUUUUAAGGGUAAUUUUGUCUUUUUAACUCAAAAGUCUAUGUGUCGCCUUUAUAUUUUUCUUGAUUAUUUUUUGUUCCAAGGCAAUACAAAGCCAAACCUCCUUGAGGAAAAAAAAGGUAAAACCAAAAAUCAACCCCACAUACAAAGAAAACAUAUAAUGAAAUCAUUUGAAACGAUGGUUGGUAAAAGCAGAAAGAGCAAAAGUUUCACAUGAAAGAACGUUCACCAUCAGUAAUGUGCAUCAUGAUUUGCACGAAAGUUAGUUAAGGCAUCAGCCAUACAUGCAGUUGCUAGCUAGUACAGUAGUAGCUAUACCACUCAACUUUUAUUUUAUGUUUUUAUUAAUUAUUAGGUGUACCAACAGUUAUAUGAAUUUGAAACAUUUGUCAACUUUAAGACAAAGUAUUUGAAGUUAAUGAAGAAUUUGGUAUAAAACCGAGUACAGUGAUGUUCUAAGAUUUAUACAGUUAAUAAAAUUUUAUUGUUGUUUGUAGUAAGAAAAAGAGUAUUAUUAAAUCAAGUGCUUGUUUAAUAGUAAAAAUAUUAGAGACUACUGAAAAAACAAAAGGAGUAUAUACACUUGUCUUGUCACUGUCAUAUUCACUUAUCUUGUCACUGUCGUAUUCUUGUCGAGUUCAUGUGCGAUAUUAAUUUAUAAGUACUACAUUGUUGUAACUAAUUUCACCAUAGUGGAAAACCUAACCUACUCAGUUCACUCUUGUUGGGCUUUUUGGCUCAAAAUUAAGAUGAUGUAAUAAAUUAGGUUUGUGUUACCUAUUUGGUUUUGGUGUCCUAUUUGGGUUUGGAUUUUGACUUCUUAGUUGGUUUCCUUGAUGGAGAGAUUUUGUUAAUUACCUAUUUGAUUAGGAUUUUUGGGAGCAGCCUCUCCAUAAAUGGGGGUAAGGCUAGCCGACAUUCACCUCUUCCAGACCCUGCGUAAAGCGGGAGCCUUGUGCACUGGGUACGACCUAUUUGAUUAGGAUUUGGAUUUACUUCCUAUUAGGAUUCUUAUUGUAACCUAAGUCCUAUGCACUAUAAAAAGGACAUUAGGGUUAAUGUAUUUUGUGUGGCUCAUUCGUAUGGCAAUUUGGUGAGAGUCAAUUUGUGAAUUUGUGAGUUAGAGAGCAAUUUGGGAGAAUCUUCUCUGUUAGGUUUGGGUUAUCUACUUGUUUGGUUUAGGGUUUCUAAUUUGUGGGAUUUGGGUUGUGAGAGUUCAAACACUCUUUUGUAAUCUCCGUUUGUUUAGUGAAAUUCCUCGCCGUGAUUCGUCCGUGGAGUAGGCUUUAUGUCGAACCACGUAAAUCUCUUGUGUCAGUUUGAGAUUGUUUGUUUUAGCUUUCACCUACGACAUUGAUAUUUGGUACUUUGUUAUAAUUCGCUUCCUUUUGCCCAUAAAAGUACAACAACUCUCUCUUCAGAUCUGACUUUUCUUAUAAAUAAUAAAUAAAAAAGAAAACUAAUAAAAAAAAAGCUUGAAAAUUUUGAGUUUUAACGAUAAAGACAAAAUAAAGGAUAAAAUGAAUAGUACUAGGAUUAACUUGUUAAUGUAAAAAAUAUGGUUUUUCGUUAAAAUGAACGGGAACUUUUUGUUAAAAAAAAAAGAGAAGAAAGGUACGAUCUCAUGUAAUUGGUACAGGGUAGGCAUGCAUGGACCUGUAAUACAAGUCAAGAAAAAUAUUAAAGGGGAUCCUAUCCUCUAUAAGAGCAUGGUGCUGUUUCAUUGGGUUUCUAUCCCAAAAACUUAAAACUUCUAUAUUUCACACAAUAUUCUCUCCAAAAUGCCGCCGGUAAGCCUUUUCAUAUAUAUAUAUAUAUAUAUAUAUAUAUGUAUGUUCUACUACUCUUGCAUCUUGUAGCAGUUGUAUACAUUUUUCUUUUAAUCCAACUGAAACUAAUUAUUAAGGCGAGAAGGUUUUCUUAAAUUAGCUGACAUUAAUUAAAUGUAUAAAUUGAUCAUAUUGUGUAUACAUCUUUUGUACAAAUUGAUGGUGCAGCAAAUGAAGAUCGUUGUGAAGGUGCCAAUGCACUGUGACAAAUGCAGAACCAAGGCCUUGAAGAUUGCAGCUGCUGCACACGGUAUGUGCCUUUUGAUAUUAUCAUGAUUCAAAUUUUCUUUCAACGAUUUCAUUGUUAAUUAUAGUUGGCAUGGUUAUUAAAGAGUAUCAUAAUUAAUGAAAGCAGGUGUUAGUAAAGUGUCGAUAGACAAAGAUCUUGUGGAGGUGAUCGGGGAUGAUGUAGACCCGUUCUGCUUGAUGAAGUCAUUGAGGAAAAGGUUCGGCUGUUGCUGCGCCCUAGUCAAAGUUGAAGAAGUAAAGCCGCCACCUCGUCCACCUCGUCCACCUCCUCCACCUCCUCCAGCAAGCUGUGUUCAAAACUGUUGCACUUGCACUCCCCAUUGUCGUUCAAUGUACUGUGUUCAAUACUGUUGCACUCCUCAGUUUCGUCCAAUGUACUGUGAACUGGUUCAUGAAUAUCCAGAACCACCAACUUGCUCCAUAAUGUAAUUGCGUGUGACAUGAAUUAGUUGAACUUGAUUAUGAUCAUUUUCAUUUUCUCUUUUCCCUUGUAGAUGCAUGGAUCUAAAGUUCAUAAGAAAUAUUUUUAUAUCAAUUGCUUCCCUCUUUGAAAUUUUGUUUGUGUUUCUGCUUGUGCCUUUUUCAUGUGUUUCCUAACCCAUAUGGAAUUGCUCAGGUACUACGAAACACUUUUGAUCAUAAGUGCUUCUAUAAGAAACACUUUUAUCACAAACAUAACAAGUUUGUAAUCCAAAGAGACCAUCAUUUAUAUGAGUUGCCUUUAAUUAUGUACCUGUACUGAUCCAUACUAAUUUUCGACCAAUAAAUGGGUGAAAGUAUGAUUAUAUAGCAGCAUGUGUGGAUGCAUGGUUAAUCAGGGUGUCAACACACUUAAACUAUCUCUAUUUCUUGAUUUCAGCAUGUGUGGAUCCAUACAAAAACUUAUUACUUGCCACAUCAGAUAGUGAAUCAUUGUAGUCUAAAACUGUAUAGGUGGUCUAGUGGUUGGAGAUGAAUUAUAGACACGUAUUCUAUACGGCAUAUGUCCUAGGUUGGAUUCCUGGAGUUGGGUGAAUCAUAAGAUGGUGGCCAGGAGAGGCUAAAAUGCUUAUGUAACUCUUCUCGGCCCUCGAAAGAGUAAAAUGUUGUGACAAAACCACCGGCUGGUCAUCUUUUAAAAAGCGAAAGGAGGAAUGCAGAGCACAGCUACACAGUCAAUGGGUUUAGAAUUCCAGCGAGGAAGACGAGAGGAAGAAGAAGAAGAGAGAAAACAAAGUAUUUGACAAAAAAAAAAAGUAUGAUAUGAAUUUGUAGUGCAUUCAAAGAUGAUAUGAAUUUGUAGUGCAUUUAAAGAAGAAUAAAGGUGCCAAAUAUAUGUUUAUAAAUCAUUUAAUCUUUGAAAACAAAGUUGUAAACACGAAAAUUCCUGAAACGAAAGAGACAAGAACACGUGUACAAAAUAAUAUUUGUACUUGAUGAUUUUGGGUUACAAUAUCUCUCUAAUUUGAUCCUCUGAUUCGAUCUCCGUAAGGUGUUGAUUUGUGGAUGUGCGAUUGAUCCAAAGGGUCGUUGGGCUUGAUCUAAGGAUGAACGUUCUUCAAGGGCCGUGGGCUUGAUCUUGAAGGUGGAUUUGAGCGGAUCUUCAAGGAGCCGUUGGGGCUUGAUCUUGAGGAUGAGCGUUUCUUCAAGGGCCGUUGAGGCUUGAUCUUGAAUAACGGUGAUGAACGGAUCUUCAAGGGCUUUUGGGCUUGAUCUUGAAGAACAAUGAUUGACGGAUCUUCUAGGGCUUUUGGGCUUGAUUUGAAUAACGGUAAUGAACAGACCUUCAAGGGCUUUUGGGCUUGAUCUUGAAGAAUGAUUGUGCGGAUUUGUUGAUGUUGUUUAUCCAAAGGGCCAUUGGGGCUUGAUCUUAGGAUGAACGGAUGAUGAACGAUGAAUACUUUCUUCAAGGGCCGUCGGGGCUUGAUCUUGAAUUCGUGGAAGUUCUUCAAGGGCCUUUGGGGCUUGAUCUUGAAUUAGUGGAAGUUCUUCAAAGGGUCGUCGGGGCUUGAUCUUGAAGGUGGAUGAUUGUUGAUCCAAGGGCCGUCGGGGCUUGAUCUUGGAAGAACGAAGAACGAAGAACGAAGAGGGCUUUCUUGAUUCUUCGGGAACCUGGAUGCUUGAGAGCUUUGGAGUUUCAGAGCUUCAGAGCUUCAACGUUUUGGUGUAAUAUGAAUUGGUUAGGAAUUGGUUAUGAAUUGGUUCUCAAUUUGUUCUGAAUUUUUUCUAAAAUGAAUGAAAUGACUUCUAUUUAUAGAAAUUUUCAAAGCCUAAUUUUGAAUAUAUUAUUCAGAUGAAAUAAAUCGUUUUUGCCAGGUGUUGACAUGUGUCCUGUUUGAUGACUUUUCUGAUGAUUCUCGAUUUUUCGUUGAGUCACCUGCUAUGUGUAAAAUUUAUGUGACACGUGAACGUCGAAAUUUUAAUUAUUGAUCAACAUUUAUUUCACCGAAAUUUCGAUGUCUACAAAAGUAUUUGACAAAAAAAAAAAAGGAAAGUAUUUAAUCAACAAUUUAAAAUAAUUACAUAAAAAAAUGGAGGGUGGGAAACCAAGAUGCAUAAAAGGGAGGAAUGCAGAGCAUAACUACACAGUUAGUGGGUUUAUAAUUUGUGCAAAUAUAACUUACCUAUUGCUUAAUUUUUAUAAAAAAAAUAAUGUAUCUACUGUAAAAAAUAAUGUACCUACUGUAAUGACCCGUUCCCAAUUUUACGGUUUUUUUAUAAUUUUAAUAAGUGAAUUUACGAAAAUGCCCUUUAAGGCAAAUGCGUUGACUUUUGUUGAUUGCCAUGUCGUGCCACGUAAGACUUGUUUUCUUGGUGUAUCCUCAUAAUACUCAUCGCUAUGAACGCGUAGGCGAAACAGAACGUAAUUUGGAGUUAUAACGAAGACUCUACGAACCUUUAAAUAGUGAGGGUAUUUUGGUAAAUUGACAAUUGAACAUGUGAAAUUGGUUGUGUGCCACAUGGGACCCACAGAUUGAUCCCCAUUUUUCUAGAUUCUUCUUUUCCUCUUCUCCUUCUUUCUCCCGUUAGUCUCUUCUCAGUUCACAUAUCUCUCUCUCGCCUUCAACUUCCUCCCCGUGACACUUAAGCACCAAUCCACCUUCCCGACGAAUUAACGACUUGAAAAUCACCAUAUUCUUACUCUCCUCAAACCUAGAAACCUGAAUCAAACUUUGGUUUCUUGGAAUACUGUGAACGGAUGCCAUUUCAAGAACCUUCAUUGAAGCGGUGGGUUUCCCUUCAGUUUCAGACAAUUUCCAACCAUCUUUUGAACUCAAAACAUAUAUAAAUCGAUUCCUCCCGUCGAUUAGAUGAAUUUUCAUGUUUGGAUCGUUUAAUUUAGUGAAGAAAUUAUAAAGUUACAAUGAUUUAAAGUUUGCCCAGUUUCCGGCUAUCUCCACCACUUUCAAGGCAUUUUAUGGUCAAACCAUGGCUAGUUAUCCAUCGUGAAAGGUACCAAUCUCUUCAUCUCGUUGAGAACUAUGAUUUCCAUUUUUGAAUUACUUGAUUUUGUUGAGUAUUGACAAAGUUAUGGACGUUGAAAUGUUGCCCAGAAAUUUUGGCGAAUAUCUGUGUUUCCCACUGGCAGUCGUCUUUCAGGCCAUUUUAUGGCCAUCUCCGGAGACCAUAUGGACUCCAAGCGAUAUAAUUUUGCUCUACACUUCUCUAGCUUCGAUUUGGUAUAUUAUGAGUCGAUUUUGGUUAAAAAACAAGUGAGAUAUGGAGUUCUAAAGAUUGCCCUGGAAGUCUGCAAAAUCUGCAGAAUCCGGCGAAAAUUCAUUAAGGUAUGCCACUUAAAUAGUAUAGCAAUCGAUGAUCCAACCGUUGGAUCGUUACUAAACUUUAAUACAUUAUAGUACGUAAUAUUUGAGGACCAUAGGAACUUACGGAUCGGGAAUUCGACGUACAUAUCUUUCCGAAUUAGAUUUGUAAGUUUGUAAAAUAAAACAUUAACCGCCACAUGAAUUUGCAAUUGGCGGAGAUCCAACCAUUGGAUCGUAAUGAAAUUUUAGUAUGUUAUUCUAGAAGCAUAAUGUGGAUCUUUGGAAGUUACGGAUCAAAAAUCUGAGUUCGGAUCUUCCGGAUCGAGUUACGUAGGAUUAUGGACCCUACCGUCGACCUUUGACCGACAGUUGACUUUUGGUCAAUGAGUCUCAAAUCAUUCUAGAAUGUCCUUGAGGAUGUGUUUUAUGUAAGUUAUGUGUUCUAUUGAUAAGGAUUCUGAGAUGUGAGUUGAUAAUUGUUCUAGGCGCCGAUCACUCGUGACACCUCGAUGUUUGUGCUAGGGAGUUGUAGCGUGGACUCCGGGUGAGUGGGCUUUUGGUUUUCUAUAUAUACAUAUAUAUGUUUUACAUUUUCUCAGAAACUGUUUUAAUUUGCGUAUAUUUUAAGUGCCAUGUCAUACUUGCAUGUUAUUUUAGUAUAUGCAUUAGUAUAGAUAUGCAUAUUAUUGCAUGAUGCUGCGAACACCCAGGUAAGCUUCAGGUGAGUACAUAUUGAUGAUCGUGAUUGCAGUGUGUAUGGUUAUGUUUAGAUGCAUUUAAUGCUCAUUAUUCUGCACCCCGGUGUUAGUGCUCUGCCCGAGGCCAAGGCAUAGCCUUCACGUGAUCGUUCACCUCCCGCACCACACGCUUACCUUGGAUCCAAGGCAGGUGCCAGCUUGUCGUACAUACCACAUUAGGUGGUUCCGACUCGUAGGUGACUUACGAUACUUCGCACAGCCUUCACGUGAUCGUAGCAAUUGAGCGUAUCUAUUUACACCCAGCAUGUUGUACAUACCACAUUAGGUGGUUCUGACUCGUGUGCAUGAAUUGGUUAUGAGUUAUAGGUUCAGCUGUAUAUGUUACGUUAGGUGACUCCGACUGACAUAUCAUAUUAUAUUGAUUCAAAUCACCUGGCUUACAUAUUUAUUAUUGAAAUACUUGACAUGGCACUCACUUUGGCUUUCAUUACUCUCAAGCCUGAUUUCAAUAUACUUAUGUAUUAUUAUUUUAUGGGAAAUUAUACGGGUUUUAUGGUGAGGGGUUAUUAUUUUUGGAAAGAGAAAUGGUUUCAAAAAGCUUUGUUUUUGCCCACUCAUGUUUUUUGUUUUUCGCCUCUAGGUUUUAGCUGCUGAAGUUCGUAUCGACAAGGAUUAUUGGCGAAUCUCAGUAUAAGUGGCUACCUCUGAGGGUAUGAUCAUUACCAAGGAUGAAAAUAUCGAUAUUAUCUACGAUACUUCGUCGAUAAUAUCGUUUUUUUUUAAAUAACGAUAUGUUUACAUAUAUCCACAUAAUUAUCGUCCAAAUAUCGCGAUAUUAUCGAUAAUAUCGAUAAUAUCGCGAUAUUUUCGAUAAUAUCGAUAAUAUCGCGAUAUUUUCGAUAUUUUCAAGAUAUUUUCGAUAUUUUCGCGAGGAGGAUGCUCCGACGAGGAAGAAGAAGGAGCAGAGCUGGAAGAGGCGGAUGAGGGCUUACUGAACGGUGGAAAGGGAGUGGAGCCGCCGGAAUCCGCCGAGCUCGAGGACUCCUCUGGACCGCCAAUCACAAUCACCACCGCCGAAAUUCCCCCAAAUCCCCAGAAACAAACACGAAGUUGAAGCAAACCCAAAUUUCAAUAGAUCAAAAUAUGGAAUUACAGUGCAUAAUGAUUCAAAAAUUACCUUAAUUUACACAAAAAGUUUCAAGAUCUAACAAGAAUUACAUAUCCAAAGUAGGGAAAUUUAGGGAAAAACCCACCGAGUGUAGUUCAUCUUCUCGUAAAACCGAAUCGAGAAAGGCGAGAGCGACAGAUUCACCUCGUCCUUUCCCCACCGAAUCGAGAAAAGCGAGAGCGACAGAUUCACCGCGGCCAUGAGGACGAGAUGGUGAUGGUGAUGUUCCUCGCGCAGGGAGAUGGGUGCAUGCGAUGGGUGCUUGCGUGCUGCGGUGCAGAGAAGAGAGAUGAAGGAGAUAUGAGAGAGAGAGCCGAGAGGGAGACAGAAGAAAAAGAAAAGAAAACAGAAAGAAGAAGAAAAGAAGAAGGAAGUCACGUGGGAACAGAGAGAGAAAAGAAAAGAGUGGAGGGGGGCUGCCACGUGGCCACUUCAGAAAGAAAGGGAUCCAAUGUUUUGGAUCUUGAUUAGGUAGUCAAAGAGGACCAAUUUGAUAUAUUAAAAUGUUUAGGGGAUAAUUACACAAAUAUAUCUUUAUAAAUGGGGGUGGGUGUUACAUAUUGCCCUAAAAAACUCCAAGUAAUUACAACAUCGUAUUAGAAUUGUAAUUGAUCCUUGUUAGAUUUGGUUUAGAAAUUCUAUGUAAUUUAGUGAUUGUUUCAUAUUAGGUUUAGAUUUGAAUUUUUUACUCCAUUUAGAUUUUAAAGGAUUAUAAUAGAUUUAAAAAUUUAUGAAUUUUGAUGAAGUUUAAUAAUUUUUAAAACUUUUAUGUAAAAUUUUAAGUGAAUUCCUUCAAAUUUUCAGGGAACGAUUUGAGAAUGUUUAAAAUAUUAUGUGAAAUAUUUCUAAUUUUUUCGAGUUUCCCAACUUUUUUAAAAAUAUCUUCGAAUCAAUUUCUAAAUGAAUACAUUUGGAAUGUAUGAAUUUCUUAAAAAUCAUGAUCGAAUACCCCUUAAACUUUAAAGAAUCACUUAAAAUCCUGAUUAAAUGCCCUUAGAUUUUUAGGGAGAAUUAAAAUGUUUAUAAGCCCCAAUUGGAUGUACCGCUUAAUUUAACUAAUUGACACAACACACAAAAAACCAGUUAAGAUUACAAAUUAACACAAAAGACGACUUGAUGCGAGGUCAUAUCUAAAAAACUUGCCGCAAUAAGCCCCAAUUGGUGUGUUUAAACUUCUUUCAUUAAUUACUACAUAUUUUCUACACUCACAAUGUUUGUCAGCUCGCUAUAUAAUCAACUUGAUAAUGUUAAAUCCAUCAUGCAAUGCAUUUCCUUCCAAUUUUUUGUGAUAAACUAAUAGAUAAUUGACUAAAUAAACAUCUUGCAAAGUUUCAAUAAAAAUUUCCAAGUUUUUCUUACAAUUUCCGUGGUUUCCAUGUAAUUUUUAUCGAUAUUGAUAUUAUCCCGAUAUUUCCAUCGAUAUUUCCGUGUUUUCGGACUACCGAUAUUUCCGAUAUUACCGAUAUUUUCUUCCUUGAUCAUAAUUAGGGUGAGUAAUUCUAUUCAUUGACAAGAUUAGAGUUUUGUGGUAUAAGUUGUAAAUAUGUUGGAAUAAUUGGUUACAUAUUUGUCUACAUGGUAAUCUAUUCGAAAUUUGGGUGUUAUUUGAAUAUUUAAUAUUAGAUAGGAUUUUGUUUGGACAAUAAGAGUUUCAAAGGCCUAUCUCUAAAAAAACCCUAGAAAUUAUUAUAUUACUUUAGUCUAAAGUAGGAGGGAAAUUGGCACUAUUCAUGUGAAUAGUGUUUUGGACCACAUUUCAGUUUAUUUACAAUAUUGCCACUCGAAUGCUUUUUCCCACCUUUCUCUUUAUUUACAAAAAAACCCCUCCGGCUUCAGGCCCAAUUUGUAGCCUUUGGGCUGCAUCUCAGGUUUGACUCGGGGAGAGAGAGGGGAUGGGGACAUAAGGGCUGACAAAUUGGAGAGAGGAGACAGCUGGGUGUGGCUGUGGCUGUGGCUGUGGCGAGAGGAGAGGAGGGGCACAGAGGGACUGACAGAUUGGAGAGAGAUGGGAGCUACGGGUGAUCUUGAUGCCGCGUGUUGAUAAUCGUGGAAAGGUAGGGGUGCGAUGGUCGCUUUAGUCUGUAGGGUUUCGAACGGAUUGGGUGGGUUAGGGAGACUUUCAUUUCCUUUCUUUCUGUGAGCUGCAGAGGAACUCGGUGAGACCGUGCCGUCAGGAGAGAGAGCAGGAGGGAGAGAGAGGGAUUUGGUGAGGGGAAGGCAUGCGGCUUGCAGAGAGGAGGAUGAGAGAGGGGGAGGGAGGGAGGAAGGAAGAGAGAGAGAUAGGGAUUUGGUGAGGGGAAGGCAUACCGCUUGUAGGUAGACAGAGUCACAGGGGUGUACCAUUCAAGGGAGAGAGAGAGAGAGAGGAGAUUGAGUGGUGGCAUCACUCUCACUACCUGCACUCCUGAGGCCGGCUACGAGAGAGAUGACAUAUGAGAGGAGAGAAAGAAAGAGAGAGAGAGCGCGCAGAGACAGGAAGGCCUGAGAUUGAGGACAAAUGCCAUGGUUGCACAGAAUGACUGAGAUUUGAAGCCCAUGACAGCCUCAGCUGAUUGAAAG